UUUUUUUUCUUUUUCGUAUGCUAGGGGCUGUUCCUCUAUUCUAUUCGAGAGAUAAUACAAAUAAAUAAUAAAUGCAGUAUUACGCUUCUCAUCAAGCUUUGCUUUAAUUUUGACUCCCUUUAAUAUUUUUUUUUAACGUAUGAUGGAAAUCUUUUUGAUAUUGGCUUUCGAGUUUUGAAUCCUUUAUUCUGAUUACGUUUGAAAAAAUCAAAUGUUCGAAUAAUAUUAUUUAUUUGUUACAUUUUAAUUUUAAGUUAACUCUAAACAGUGUUAGAUUAUAUUGGUGGAUUUAUGUUGCGUCAACAAAAACAUGGCAAUGUCGGAUGUAGCCGUUACUCUUUUGUGGGAGCAUGAAUGGUCAGAAUCUAUCUACACGUGUAGUCAAUUGAUCCUAACAUGUGUGACAUUGAUUGUUGGAUUACAUUGGGAAUUAACUCCAAACAUCGACAAUGCUAAUUUUGAUUGUUUCUAUUUUGUGGGUGUAUGAUCUGCUAGCACGUGUAGUCAAUUGAUUAUGAUAGUCGUUAAGAAAUAUUUGUGACAUUAAUAGUUGAUUACAUUGGGAUCCAACAUUAUACUGGUUUUGGUCGAUCCUAUUUUAUGGAUGCAUGAUUCGUCCGCAAGUGUUCAAUUGACAAAUAGCAUUCAUUUUGAAAACAUUGUGCUUCAACCUUGUAAAUGAAAACAUCAACAACGUUGAUUUUGACGGUUCUUAUUUGCUGAACCUGCAAUUCAUUUGAGUGUAAUGUUAGGAAGACUAAAUUGUAAACAAAAUUGUGUAGACUGAAUGACAUGUGAGUUAGUAAUUGAAUUAUUACUUAAACGUUGAUAAAUGUGCUUAUUUGUAUUGGUGACACAUCAUUUAAUUUGUAAAUUUUAUCUUUAAAUUUAGUCUUUUUCGCAUUACCCUUCACUUAAAUGUAUAAGUGAUUGAUCAUAACACUCGUGAUGGAAACAUUUGACACAUUGGGGGUUGUGUAUAAAUCAAUUGCUUCAAAUAAAACAAUGAAUAAUUAAAACUUUGGACUGAAAUUUGACUAAAAGAAGAUAAGACGAGUAGCACACGGGUUGCUCUCAAUUGCCCAUGUGAUGAUGAGAAGGGCCUCCGGGCCACGACACUGCAAAAGAGUCAUCGACGAGAGAAAGCAGAAGCACUCGUGACUCGUGAUUAAUUGAAUUCACUAGUCGAAUAACCAACACCAUGUAACCAUCUCUCUGAAAACGAAGUCUAGCAGAAACAACAAACUUUAAACCCUUUCGCCACCGGCCUCCAGCUCCUGGUUGGGGCCGGUGGCAGCCACCCUUUCAAUUUUUGUUUUCAUCUUCCUCCCUCUUUCUUUCUCGUACUGCGAUGGUCUCGGUUCCUGACGUGGAUGGAGAUUUAUCCCCAAGCGUUUUGUCCCUCCCCGCAACUGCGAUCACCUCGAUCCCCUUCAUGGAUCGGCGGAGCAACCUGCCACCUACAUGUGGUAUGGACGGAACUUUGUUUCCGGGUUUUGUGCCCAUGUUUCAAGGUCCUAAUCCUUUGAUUUGGGGUUUUUGGGAUUAGAUUUGGGGUUCUUGGGGCUAUGAGCUCAAACAGCUCCAAUACUUUGAAUCUGCUCUCCAAUUCCUCAUACCCGCCAUUGCCUUCCACUCCAGUUUUGGGGGAUUUCAUCUCAUCUCUUGUAUGUUGCUCCUGGUCAGAGACAACUACAUGUUGUCACCCCUACAAAGGUCUGGUAUCUCUUUAUAAUGGUGUUUACACCACCUGACCAUUUUUGUUACAGCUUGGUUCUGGGCAUUCGCUUGCGUUUGUGUUCGUCUGAGGACUGGAUUUGUGGCGUUCAGGAUGGGUUUGGUUCUUCCUGAUCUGCAAGUUGGGCUUCUUUUCACCAACUUUGAAGCAUUGAUGGGUUCUUGUAUUGCACUAUGCGGUGGUAUCUCUCAGUUUUUCUGUUCGCCGGUCGUCUCCAUCUUUUCUGCGGCGGGUGAUCUUCGUUUUAGGGUGGUCAUAUUUUUUAGAAGGGCCACUUUUGUGCCUCUUCGGGUGGACUCUAGCUUUUGGGCCGAGCCACAUCUCUUGUAAUUUUAGGUAUAUUUGAGAACCGUUACUCAUGCGAUGAAUGCAUAAGUGACGUAUUAGUUGUACCUACCUCAAUUAUGGGGAUAUUGUCUUUGUACGGUGUCCGUUUGGACUUUGUUAUAAAAUUCCUCCUUGACCAAAAAGAAAAAUCAAACUACCAAACCCCACUGAAAAGGGUAGCCUUACAUUCUAUCCAUGUGUUAUUAUGUUUGUAUAUAUUUGAAUAAGUUGGUGAAGGAGAUUUGGAUUUAGUGACUAUCUCUUGGUUCAGCAUUUCUGAUUGACAAAAUUUGGUUAUGGUGUGUUUUUGGUCGAGGGUUUGUAAUUUUUAUGUUGCAAUGUCUUGGUCGAAUCGAUCAGUCGGUUGUUUUCUAUACUGUUGUUGCCUUGGUGGCUGUUGGAAAUACGUUUGUGGUGACGGCAGUAGGUGCUGCUUUCUGCACUUGGAAAAUAGAGAUUAGGGUUUUGGUUUUUGUUUGUUUGGUUAUUGGACUGGCUUUUGUGUAUUUGAAUUCUCUUACUGUGUGUUGAGUUAUAUUGUCUUCUUUUGAGUUGGCCUGUAAUAUUUUUUCUCCUUAAUAAAUAUUACUUUUCAAGAGGAAAAAAAAAACCUACUCAGAAAGAAAACGACAAAAAAAAAAUAGAAACCCAUGUGACUUAAAAAAAGAAUGCAUUUUCCAAGAUGUAAGUAGAGACCAUUCGCCGCACGUAAUUAACUUCGAAAAUCCAUCUCCCCACAGUGUUGUGUACAGUCAAAGCAUAUUAUUAACUCUUUAGAACAAGUUGGUGCUUGUUCAAAAGUUGGUCUAGGACUCUAGGUUAGUAGCUGAAGACUGAAGUGGACCACUUGUUUGAGAAUUUGACAACUGAGGGGCCGUUCUAAACUUCUAAACCAUCAAAAGCAUUUUAUAAUACUGAUUAAAAAACACUUAUACUCGUAAACGGUUGUAUUAGAAGGAAAAGACAUGGAUCUUCAAGGAUUUAGGAGGAAUUCUUCUUCAAGAUAUCUGUUUAUGGAACUUCGUGACCGUUAACGAAACCGUUCGUAUUCAAAAAUUAAUAUUUAAAGAUAAUUUCUACAAAAAAGAAAACAAAAAGAUCUUGUAAUCAUUGAAUAGUAUAAAAGUAAAUGUUUGGUAUUGAUAAAAAUAUUAUGAAUCGUCUAUUUAUAUAUUAUAUUUGAUUUACUAAACAACUUUAAUUUCAAUUGAUUGUUUGCACAUAUGAUCUUUAUAUAUUAAUUUUUAAUAUAAACAGUUAUGAUUAUUAGCACGAAGUUCUGUGAAUCGAUCACAAAGUAUCUUGAGGAGAAAAUCCUCCUCAAAUUAAGGAGUUAAGCUUUUUUAUUAUUAAACACUGUUUAAGUGUUUCUUUUUCAAAAAGUGCUUUUAUGACACUAAAAGCAUGUGUUGGUUGCCAUAAAACACUUUGAACCCUACUAUAAGCAUUCACAAACAGACCAUUAGCAAAAGUUCAAGCAUUGCAUAAAGAAUCACUUGUCUCGUGUAGCAAGUAAAUAAUUUUAAGUUUUUUUUAUUAACGUAAUUAGAAACACUUUCAGUUAUGUUUUUAAUCAUUAUGGACGAAACAUGAGAUAAUCCCACAUGCUUUAGGUGAUUUUGUGCGAAAUGAUUAAUGAAAUUAAUCAAGAUUAUGCAUCAAUCAGUGACAAGAUAUUUCAUCAAUACUAAAGUACUUUCUUGGAAUGUUGUGGGGCUACUUGAUUAGUGUGAGUGGAUGUGGUCCGUGUCCAUUGAUUUGAUGAUGAUGAAGAAUCGCGUGGGUUCGGGAUUUCUCUACCGAAUCGAUAAGAGAACGGGAUAAUUGAGAUUAUAAUAAUAAUCAUAAUAUUAUUAUAAUAAUAAUAAUUAGUAGUUGAUGUUCUAUUCGUAACAAAAAGUACGAUAUUCAGUGAUACGAAAAAGAAUACGUACAUAUAGGAGGGUAGGGGUCAUUUAAUAUGGACCUCAAUAAAAAUUGUUGAAAUGUCCCACAUCGACCGUAUCAAUGACAAAAAGAAGAGUUUAAAUAUCAUAAUCCUACUCCAACUAAUACCGACGCAUUUUGUAUUAAAAUCUCACACCUGACUGAUUGAGCAGGUGGCCAAGUGGGGACAGUAUCGGUAUUGUUGGAGUGGGCACAUGGCCCGUCUACCUGAAAUUUAAGAUGGUAUCAGAGCCAGGGAGCGAGCCCGUACCGUAUUGCCAAGUGAUGGGUGGGUCCCCUUGGCCCCGCACGAUGAUGGUGGGUCCCUUGGCUCUACGUGAUUGUCGAUGUGUGGAUCUCUCACGUGUGACCUGCUAAUUGGGUCCCACGUGAGGGGGCGUGUUGAAAUGUCUCAUAUCGACCAUAUCAAUGACAAAAAGAAGAGUUUAAAUACCCUAAUCCCACUCCAACUAAUACCGAGGCCUUUUGUGAUAAAACCUCACACCUGACGGAUUGUGCAUGUGGUAAAGUUGGGGAUAAUAUUGGUGUUGUUAGAAGUGGACCGUAUGACCCGUCUCUCUGAUAUUUCUACAAAAAUUUUGUCAAGAAUUUCAACGUGAUCAAAGAGAAAAAGAACUUUUCAUGCUACCAAAUUACAAAAUUGUACUAUCCUCAAAAGUAAGAUAUGUGAUUGCAUCGGAGUUCCUCAAACCAAAUCAUUUGUUGCUCUAAACCAAAUAAUUUGAUGAUCUAAAAUGACAGUCCCAAUCGUGCCAGCCUAUGAGCGACCUUGUUUGCCUCCCGUCGAGUACGAGAGAGCUUGGUUUGAAUGAAAAUAGGAAGAAUAAUCCAGCUGGUGGUACUGCUACAAAAUAAUACUGCGUUUUUGGGAAUAUUUGCUUUUGAGUUCUUCCACAUCAACUAUGAAACUACAGCGUUUUGGGACAUUUCAUUAUCAAGACAUGGCUCCACCUGUGACUUCGUCCAACCCAUCCCUUUGUUGUACACUACAUACCCCUACAUGGAACAUGGUGCAUGUAUUUCUAUUGUUUUGUUUAUUGAUACGAGAUAUUUGACUUCCGAAUUCCCUUCAAAAUAAUCGAGAUUGUUGACUUCAAAACUUCCUCCACCAGCCCCUUCCUUUGUUGUACGCACCUCCAUCGUACAUGCAUUUCUUUGUUUCGUUUCUUUUCUAUCGAUCAACGACGGAGUGUGUGUAAAAUUUAACUUUAGAACCUCCUCUAACAUGAGGGUAAUUUCAGCAAGGUCACAUGAUUAAGAAACUCUUACACCAGAUGAGAAUGUCAAGUGAUACCAAAAUACAAAAAAAGUCAUAUGCUUUUGCGAGAGUUGUUUCACAAAUGGCGUGAUCGGAUAUUCCUCGACAGUUUUAUACAUCAAACAGUAUCAAGACCUUGUUUAAUAGGCUCCUCCUUUUUCUUAGUAUAUAUUUUUUUCUACCCCAAAAGUUUAGGCUUUGUUAAAUUAACGUCACGGGAUUCACAAACCUGUGAUGUGCGAUCGGACGAAGUGGCCCAAGGUUGUGCUCCCCUUGCACAUAAUCCACCCACGCACUUGCAUUCUUGAUUUGUAUUUUUAUUCGAGUUCAUGAACAUAUAAGGGCCAACGGGGUCCGCCAACCUUACUUCCUUCGACUUCGGUUUGCUACCGGCUCCAACAACCGAACAGCGUAACGACGACGAAUGCGCUCCCUCCUCCCUCACAUGUUUCUAUCGUUACGAAAUUAUCACAUCAAUUUGUUAUGAAAUGAGUGCACGAUGUGAUUGAUGUUUUAAGAAUAAAAUAUUAUAUAUAUAUAUAUAUAUAUACAUAAUUUAACGUGUUACAACAUAAAUAAAAUAUUAAAAUCAGUACAACCGUUGGGGACAUUAUGAUUUGAGACUUCAAGGAGACUUGAGAGCUUCAUUUGGGCAAAAGAAAGAACCAGUCGUUGUCGCCUCUCUAAAUAUUUACCCAAAAAGCAACACGCUUCAUUUUUUAUGUGCCCUAACGUUCUAUAUAUAUAUAUAUAUAUAUAUAUAUAUAUAUAUAUUAUUAUUAUUAUUAUUAUUAUUAUUAUUUUUCUUAGGAACAUGAUGGUCGCAUAGACAAUUUGGACAUGAAAAGGGCAGAGAUUUCCCAGCCUGUCCCAUGCUCGUACCAUAUGGUUCAGAUUUCAUAUUCUUUCAACCUAAUCAAUAACAGCCUAGAUCCCCGACAGCCAUAUCGAUGUCGCAUUUCGAGGAAGAAGUGGGAUCGAAAUUUGCCUUCUGUGGUUUUCAUAUUUUAAACAAUUAAUUUAAUUUUAUCAUCACAAAAUGCAAAUGAUGCUUCGAUUGCCUGUGGCUGGGAAGAACAAGGCUUCCGUUUGUUAGGUCAAGAUUUGUUGUAAGAUCACAUACAGACCGACUACACUGUCACGGUUGUGUUAUAUUGCUCCUGAUCAUGAACGGCAUUGCAACAAUGUAUCUGGUCCAUCUAAGUUGCUUACAAGAUUUUUGCCGAGAAGUUAUUUUAAUUGGAAGGAAUUGUGGUCCCUUUUCUUUCUUUUUUCUUCAAAAAAGAAAUAGAAUAUGUUUUAAUAACCGAAAUCAAAGACCCAUCAGCGGUUUUAUCUCCUAUGUUAAUUUAAUUUUCAGUCACAUGCAGGAAGUCGUCAUGGGCAAUUGGGUAUGGAUAGGUUCCCACAUGCAAACAUGUAAAUUUGUAACACUCUUUGCUUACUCAAGUUUGACAGCACUACGAGAAAAAACUCACCUAUCUCAUGUUGCAUGCCGCUUUCUGUUUCAUGCAAGUUUCUCUCUGCCAUUGGUGCGCUUGACCAAUUAGGGAGUCCAAAUAUAACCGGGUUAAAUCCAACCGGAGCAAUUUCACCGCAGUUAUACUAUGAAUAUACUGGGAGCCAUUAGGGUUUUUUUUUUUUUUUUUUUUUUUUUUACAAGGAGCUGGUUAUUAACAAGAGGGAUGAAAAGAAAGUUACGAUUACAGUACAAUAGCCUUGCAAGCUAUCCAGAAGAAUAAUAUGUUACAGCAAAGUGAAAAUCCGAUCCGGCGAUGGCGUGCGAAAUCACCUUUUUUUACUUGUGUGAAAGCGUUGUGUAUAUUUCUCCUUGACACUUUCUAAGUACUGUUCAACUACAAUUGCACCCAUCUUUGAUAAGCUCUCCUGGUCACCAUCAGUGUCUUGAUCCAAAUGCAACAACUGAAAUGGCCAAAACAUGUCGAUUUCCGUGUCGUCAACUUUAGCUCGAUGUAGCUUUGUGUCCCGAGGCAGAUGAUCCACCAAGCCAAAACCAACCACAAGUUUGGCACCUCGGAUACUAUUUGUUGGUGAUGUCUGAUCAAAUGUGGGUGUAAAAGAAUGUAGAUAAAAGGCCAGAUCCGCUGGCUUUUAUAUGGUGAUAAUGCUGCCCGACCUUUACUGUUUUCUGCGGCAGGUAGCAAGUCGGACAUUGCGACCACAUUAAUUCUAAGUCUCUCCGAAGCAAGCGCCACAAGUUGUGCUCACCGCUCUCUCAUACAGUCCUUUUUCGAGAGGGAAAAUCGGCAAAUAGUUGAUUUAAUUGUGGUCCUUUUUGCUUCUCUUUAACAUCAUUGACAUGUGAUUGAUGUCCUCAUGGCCCAUUUGUGUUCCACUCACCAGCCACUGAAUGGCCUCCGCUGCCGCAUCUUUUUCUGCACUCUUCUUGUUGUUACAUGGGUGGCCCAUAAUUUGCAUUCCGUUAAACUCCACUGUAGCUCGGAACUGGCUGUUCUUCAGUUGCAUAGUUUUGUAGGUAGGAGCGUUGUAUCCUGCUCGUGUGAGCAAUGUCUGGAGCUGACUCUUAGAAUUGUCACCCCCGGGUCCACUUUCAGUUCUUGAAACCAAGGCUGGCUGUGCUGCCACCACAGAUGGCUUUGACUUUGAGAGUGCAAGGACCUGGCGGCCAAAUACAAAUCUACCUUCGCCUUGAUCCUCCGAAAGCAGGAACCGCAUUGCAGAAAGAAGUUCAUGGUAACUGUGUGUGUCCAUCCUGGGGUUCAGUAGCUGUUCAGGAUUCACAAUAUUCGACAUUAGCCAGAGGUAACAUGCAGAGAAAAUAUAUUCAAACCUCACAUCAACUGCAACUGGGAAAGUAAAUUAGAAAGAGACCCGAAAUAAUAAAAUAUAUAUUUAUACAUAAUAAAUAAGUAAACUAUAAGAACAGAAACAAGGUCAAAACUUAGGAGAAACUAAGUUCGUAAUAGCUUCACUUACUUUGAUUUGAAUUAACUGGUCAAGUUCCCCUUUUAAGCAUUGAUACAUUUCUGCUACAGCAGGCUUCAUGAAGAAUUCCAAAUAUCCUCCCAGCAUUUUCAAGUGUCCAUCCUACAAGAACAGGAAAUAAAUCACACUAUAUCACUAAAUAAGGAGCAAUAACGAUAACAGAAAACAGACAUAAUCGAGCAUGCAUAAGUAUGUCCCCACUCCCACAAUCAGAAAAUAAGUUACUUGACACAUCCAGAAAACAACAGAAACGAAAUACGUACGGUAUCCCCUUUCGAAAAACUUCCACCAAAUAGGAGGAGCACUGAGUCAGACACAGCUGUUGAAUCCCGUAGGAAAACAGAGUUCACCUUUAUCUUCUCAUUGAAAACCAGCCACGGAUAUGGAAUUUUGGAAUCCCUAGCAUUGACAGAGUUCUAAACAAAUGAAAAAGAACAUGAGAUUAAAUAGAAACAGAAUUGGGGCCAUAUUUUUCUUAAAUCUAAUGCACAAGAAUGCUUACCGAGUAUAGCAGCACCUGCCCAUCCUCCAUUGUUUUCAGUGAAAAUGACUUCUCAUUGUGCUGCAUAUCAAAUUAUGCAAGUCCUCAAGAAAAUUAUACAAGAAUUCAAUCAUGCUUAUGUGUAUCGGAGAAAUCAUACACAUGAACUCACCAACAAACACUGAAACUGAUAAAGCAAUUUCAGUUACAUUCGUAUGGCUAACUUAACUUUCUUCCCAAUUUGAUUAGUAAGACAUGGGUUAAUCAUGAGAUAACCAUCAUGAAUCCAACAGAGGGAGGAGAGUGACAGCAUAAAUUUUUUAGAGAAGUGAACAGCUUAUAUCUUGCUUAAUUAUAAUCGGAAGGAAAAGAAAAUGGAUCUGUGCUUACCACAACAGAGCAGAUUCCAGGAUACAGGCCACAGCAAAUAACUGCACGGACGAGAUGCUCAUCAUAACUCCAUGCGUUAUGAGUGGUGGUGUUGGCAUCAACAAGAUCAGUAUCCCUAAGCAAAGAGAAGAACUCCUUCCUAAGGGAAUCAAUAGCUUUCAUCGAUUGUGCUGAAAGAAAAUUCUUCCAGCAAUAGUCAUAUCCAGCAAAGUCUCUUUCAGCAACCUUCCAGCCCUCAUAGGCCCGCACAAGUGCAAGGUGAUCACUAUUAUCUCGGGAAAACUGAGAUUUUGCAGCCUCAGCAAGCUACAAAGACAAACAAAUACAAUAACCUUAAAUUGUUUCCAAUGAUAAUGACACAGUGGCAAAUUAUAAAUCUGAUGCAACUUUACGAUCUUGCACCUCCACCCAAAAAGACUAAAACAAACUUCAGCCAACAAAGCAUUUAUCUCAAUUUGCCUCCACUCCAGUUCUGUCCAAGAAAUAAAGAGCAUGAUAGAUAUAAUGAGAAUGGAGAGUGGCUUACGUCUUUCUUGUCAAAUGGUGUUAGGAAAGGAUCUCUGACACUAAGCCCAGAAACAAUAGUCAAAACUGGAUCCAGGCAGUUGAAAAUGGCGCCUAGCAAGAGCAUCUUUCCAAGUUUUGGCUCCACAGGAAGCAUAGUUAGAUAGCGUCCUGUCAAGUGAUUUCGACUUUAUGACUUUCAAAUUUAAUCUCUCAGCCAUUACAAAGAGUUGCAAGCAUCACAGUGCAUAAUUGAAAUAAUACAUAUCUUCCCACCUAAAACAGUCAGAUUCUCUUUCUCAUCCAAGGCCCCAGUGAUCUUUAAAUACUCUAUGGCGUUUUGCACCUGUAAAAGAUAUCAAGAGACAAAAUGUGAAUUGCAGACAAGCAGCAAAAUGUGAGUGAGAAUAAGCACAACAUAAUUUCAGGAGGAACAAUUUGGGGUAAGCCUUGAGCUGCACGUGUGCAGGGUGCAACUAAAACACCAUAUGCCACUAAGAUAUCAUGACAGACAUUAAUAAGCAUCUGCACUAAAUGCUAAGGAAUUAACAAGCUUAAUUAGCGCAAGAAAGUAGAGCUACAAUGAAAAGCAAAUUACAGCUAUUCUCAAUAAGCUUUUCAGCAACAAAAAAUUGUGCAACUGAAGAUUUAAGUUAAAAUAAUAUUAGGUAGAUAAAUAUAAGAUAGACUUUUACCGCAAGUAACUCUGGUGACUGCAGAGCCCUAGAUAAGAACUCAGAAAUGCUUCCGAGGUUUAAACUUUUUAUUUGCAGACACAGAGACUGCAGAGGUGUCCUCAAAAUCUCUGGUAACUGAUACUCUGCAAAUGCGUCAUACACACAUCUAGGAUAGAGAUGAUAACAUUCCCCGGGCUGGACACGUCCUGCUCUUCCUCUUCUCUAUAAUAUAUAAGCAGAGAGGAGCGUAAUUAAUCAAGGUAACAGACUGAAACUUGAAAUGUACUGAACAUUAAGGAAAAUCAAAGUGGCCCACAUGAAAUCACAUAAGCAUGCACACACAUAUAGAAAGAACAACAUGUAAAUAAGCGUUUAUAGCCUGUCGCCCCUGUUGGGUGUUUAGUGUUUACACAGAAACUCUAAUGAUCUCAAGAGAAUUAUAAAGUAAAAAUGUUAAUUUAAUGGAAAUUGUAAUUACAAAAAUAAUUUCUGCUACUCAUUCUACCACACAUGCAUGCACACAAUGAUGUAGGUCAACAACCGAGGAAUAGAUUUCAUCUAAGAGACAAAAAUCUUCAGCCAGAACACAUCCUUACUUGUUGGGCAGAAACCUUGGAAAUCCAGGAAGGAAGUAAACAAGGAGUAUUAUUCAGUGCGUCAUAUGAAGUCUCUUUUGCCUUUCCACAAUCAAGUACAAAAACAACAUCAUUAAUCGUGAUGCUUGUCUCAGCAAUAUUAGUAGCCAGCACUAUUUUCCUCACUCCAUCCUCAGGCUCAUCAAAUAUUAACCUCUGCAUGCAGUCAACAUGGAAAUGAUAAAAAAAAAGAAGAGAAACCACCAUAUGAAACUGGCCUAGAAAGUAGAUUUGGUAGUAAUUCUUUCAUUCAAUAAAGGUGAAGACAAAUUAUGGCAGUAGUAAUUAAUUAAUUACCAUUAACUAAAAUAAAUGCCUGAACAGCAUACUACAAGCAUACGCAAAUAAAUUAUGCUAGAGAUAGUACAAUUAUCAGGGCAUUAAAAAAUUACCUGCUCAGUACUCGCCAUAGAACCAUGGCAUGCUAGUAACAAGACUCGGCUUGGAUCACCUAAUAGAGGAUUGGCAUGUAACUUUUCCUUCAGAGAAUUGAUGUCAUCCCACCCAGUCAUAAAAACUAGAAUGGCACCUGGCUUUUCACUCUCACAGAUAUUGCACAAGAGAUACUCGAUGAGAUAAAAACCAAUACCAUCAGGAUUCCAACAUGCUAGAGACUCCUGAGUCUGUAGACUAUACCCCUUAAAAUUGGCUGCUUUAAGUGCAUCCUGAAUACAUUACAUGAGGGCAAAAAUGAGAAGACAGAAAAUGAAAAAGAACAAAACCAUUUAUGCAGUAACUUGUAUACCUCAACAACAAAAGCAAUUUGGCUUUUCCUCUUUCUUGGUGCCUGUUUGCUCAUUUUCCACAUCUUAUCUUGACCAUAAUCAUCAAUCUGAUUGUAUGGAGUUAAUUUGCAGCCCGUAAUUUCCAGAACAUCCUCCAGAAAAUGAGUUUGAACUGGAUAUGUAAAACCCUAGUUUAGAGGGAAAGCAACAAAGAUAGACAAACCAUAUCAAACAUUAAUAUCUAUCUCCACAAUCGUCAUUAAGACUUCCCUCAUGAAACAAACAGAAAUAUGCAUUAAUGCAUAACACCCCUCAAAUAUAAAAGGUAAUACACAUUGUUAACGGAAAUGCACUGGAAUUUUAAACUUACUGGAACAUGAAUUAUCUGAGCUCUACCAAAGUAGGAUGAGAAAAGCUCAGAAUCUAGGGUUGCACUCAUCAAAAUCAGCCUCAGUUCUGGUCGCCGAGGAAGGAGAUCCUUGAGAACAAUAAGCAGAAAAUCUGGCAUCAAAUUAUUACAGUGAGAAAUCACCCUUCAUAUUGAAAACUUGAAGCCUUGAUCUAGCUCUAAUUUACCUUCAUUCAUUCCACGUUCAUGAAUUUCAUCAACAAUCACAUGAGUUACACCUUUCAAAUUUCUAUCAACUAGCAAUCUUCUCAACAAAAUGCCAGUGGUGCAAAAGAGAAGGCGAGUGUCCCUCCCCUUCAUACCUUCUAAGCGAACCUUAUACCCAACCUAAGACCAAAGGAAUGCAAGGAAAAGGUUAAAAGAAAAAGAAAACAUCAGAGGUUCUUUUUAUCUGAAGGGUAAUAAUUUGAUCAAGUAUCUGAGGAAACUCACCGAGUCACCCAAUUUCUCCCCUCUCUCUGAAGCAACUCUUUCAGAAACAGACAUAGCAGAUAUUCGUCUAGGCUGUGUACAUAUAAUACUACAAACAGCUCCACGAACAGCUUCUAUCUCAGAUUCUAAAAUGAAUUGUGGAAUUUGAGUAGUCUUGCCACAGCCAGUUUCACCUGAUAUGAUAACAACCUACAAGUACAAAAGUGCCAAAAAAUUAUUAUAUUGCCAUGUUACAGACCACCUUUGCAUAAUUGAACUAAAAUAAUUGCGUGAUUCAGCAUGUAUCCAUAUCUACUACCUUACCUUUGAAAACAACCCAAAAGAAAGACAACGACUUAAGAGAGAAAAAAGCUGACCAUCAACACAGGCCAACUACCGAAUUGUAAAACUACGACCAAAGUCAGAACAAACGUCUCACAUGAAUUUUCCUGAAAAUUUAAUUACUAACCUGAUCUCGUGAAAUUGCUGCCAAUAAUGCAUCCUUCUCUUUAUAAGCAGGAAGACUUCUGCGAAGUUCAAGCAUUUUUCUACCUUGAGGAGAUUCCUGAAAGAAAAAAAAUAUUACAAAUACAUAGAACAAAACACAUGAGUCAUCGUAUGAGUUAUAACUGAAUGCAGUCAAUCAUGCAGAGCAAUAUGCCAAGGUAAGACAAACCUGCCAAGCUUGUUGCUUAUCACGCAUCUGCGUACUUGUCCGCCAAAGAAGCUUUUCCAUAACACCCUUACUUGACGCGAAUGAUUCUGGUUGCUCAAAAAGCCCUUCAUCAGUAGCAAUGCUGCCACUACUGUUUGAUAUCGAAAAGGAAAGAUCUUCCUUUGUCCUAGACUUCUGGGAAAGGAACUCUCCAAGAUAUCCCUCAACUCUCCUCAGCAACCCAUGAGGCAAGGUCACCUUUCAAAUUUAAAAACCUUCACUUAAGAACCGUGUAGAAAGAAGUACAAAGAACUCACACAUUAAAAACAUCAUGAGGUGGAGGGAAGCUGUCCUAAACUCCUAGCUAAUCCAUUGUUACAUUUUCAUAUAAGUAAACUAAUCCGUUGGGACAAAUUAAAAUAAGAAACAUGAAGUCAAGAAAUAAGGGUUAUCAACAAAGGGAAUCACCAUUAGCACUGGAACUCAGUAAAUUAAAGGCAGUAUAGAUGGCUGUCAACUUCAAGAGUACAAUAAACAGAAACUUCAACUUUAAGGAAAACAAAACGAUCAGAAUUACCUCUCUCUGAGGGCGCCUAUCAUCCAGAUCAAAUCUGUAGUUUGGCAGUGGGACCUUACUAAAAACAGCAACUUUCGAAUAUAGAUGGCUGUCAAAAAUGCGUACGGUCAGACUUCUAUAAAGUUAUCGAAACACUUACAUGCUGACAAAAACCAAAGAUACCUAUAAAGCCCCAUUCUGCUUGCCAAAGCAGCUAUUUUCUCAAAGUCGCAUCUAUCUUUUUUCUCCCUCGUAACCAAUUCUUGCUUCUCCUUGUCACGUAACAGCGUGGUAAAUUUCCGUUCCCACUCAUUAUCAGAUGAGUAAGGACUCUGUGUCUGCAAUAUUCAGAUAAACAAAUACCAUAAGCAUUUAUAUAUGUUACACCUUUCAACUGGAUAGAAAUCUCCGUAAACAUCAUGCCUUGAUGCCUUAAUAAACAGUCAUAAUGGUACGCCUUGGAUUAACUUAAGAGGUAAGGGCUUGAAAAGGCUAAAUUAGACACAGUAUGCAUUUCGAGCCAUUAGCAGUUGAUAAGAACUUCAUACAGGGUAAAGGAAGACACUCCAUCAUAUACUGUUUCCAUAAUGAGAGGAAAAUGAGGUUGCAAAACUCCUCAUUCCAACCGGCUAAAAUGACUUGCUUAUCGGUAAAUGCGGACUUGAAAUGCCUUUGAGUAUGCAACGGGAAGCAGUAAAAAUGAAAUUGAUAGACUGAAGCAGCUUCGCAUUGAGCUGCUAACCUGAACUCCACAAAAUCUCUCCACUACUUUCCAAUCACCAUCCGCAACCUAAUCGCAUUAAGCUUCUCAUAAACUGCCAGCAAUGCAUAUCGAAAAUCGACAUAGCAUUUCACAUCACACUAAGUAAACGACUCAAUCAACAACCAAAUUAAAAGCUAACAUUGAAACACUCAACUACUACCACUUCAGAACUUCAGAGUCUGAGGCCUAAUUGAAACCAAAUUACCAAUUCACACUCAGUAAACGCGCGGAUUCCCCAAUUAACAACUCUAAGCGCGCACACAAUUCACAUAUAAAAACCUCACCGGAUACGACGGCAACUGAACUUCGCGAUCGGAGCCUUCCUCGGAAACGCCGUCGUCGUAAGCAGAAGAGUGCUGAAGCUUGGGCUUCUGAAAAUGCUGCUGCUGCUGCUGCUGAUUCUGGUAGUACGCCAGAGCACCAAUGGUGCUGCUCCUCUGGUUAAGAGCAGCAGCAGUCUGGUUGUCGCGGAGCUUGGAGCCGACUGAAGUAGGGGAGGUGUAAUUGGGGGUGGUGAUGGCGGAGCGGGGGCGGUGGUGGGGAGGGACGUAGACGGAGCCGUACGAGGAAGGAGGCCGGUCCUUCAUCGCCAGGAGUGAGGUUUUGGAGGAGGAGGCAAUCGGUUUGGGAGGUGAAGGCGACGGCGACGACGCGUAUGGGAAUUGCAGAGACGGAGGAGAUGGGUGGAGGAGGAGGAGGAAAGCAGAGGGAAUGCAAGGUGAGGCAGAAAAGUGGCGUCGUUCGAGAUCAGAGAAAUGUCCGAAUGAGUCUCCCCUCCGGAAGCGAAGAGUUGAGUGUACUUCGAGUUCGCACGUCAGCGCUGCACUUUCGGCUUUAAACUGCAUCUUUUCAAGAUAAACGCUUUCCGUAUUCUGGUAUUUACAGUUUUCUUAUUUUUAUUUAAAAACAAAAAACAAAAUUAAAUUCCCUCUGUGCCCGAAUUUUUUCAAGAAAAUGUACAUGCGUUUUCAGUUUUCCUAAUAAAAAUAAUUUUAGAUGACAAAUUAUGUGCAAGGUAAAGAUGGGUAUGCUGUCUUUAGGUACUCGCGUAGUUUUUAUUUGUGCGUAAGAAAAUUGAUAAAUUUAGAGUAAUUAUGAUAUUCGCGUCGGUUUUAAGAAAAUAAGUUGCUAAUGUCGUCGAAAAAUGUAAUCGUGGGAGAGAAGUGCAUGACGACUUUUUAAGUGUCGAUAAUAAUUCUCUUGAGAGAAAUGUCAAAAAAUAAGUUACGUUCGGCAAAACAUAUCCUUUUAUCACCGGUCUUAUUCAAGCCCUCGAGUCUUCUAACGGGAAAAAAAAGAAAUCAAAAACUUUUACUCAGCAUACAUGAGCUAAUACCGAAAAAGAAACUGCUGUAAAUUACACCCGUCUCGAGUUUCAAACUCCAAGGAGAGGAAUGAGUUGCCUCAGACUCCGGCUUCUGGAGGCUUAGUACGUAUAGCCCUUGACGAACAUUCCUUUCUUGGCUUCCUCGUCCUCGCCUGCAGCAGAGUACUUUCCUAGCUGAGCCAAGGAGUUUGCCUUUGCUCGCACCAGAAGUGCCUUUUGUGCAGCGUCCACGUUCUCAGGAUGUCCUUGCCAUGCCUUAAGGACAGAGUUCUGCAGGGCACGUGCGUACGAGAAGGAUACGUGCCAAGGGUUGGGGCUUUGGUUCAUUGCAUUUAGGUUGAGGGUCGCUUCUGCUUCGGAUUGUCCUCCUGACAAAAACUGUUAAGUGAAAGGAGCAAAUAUGAAUCAGCCUUCAUAGGUCAAUGGUAACAAAUAUCAUGAGUAUUACGUUCUUGAACUAAUAUUUAAGGCCGUGUGAAGCUAAUAGGCACAGGAGGAAUAGCGCAUCAGUUUACAGCUAUUGCAAAAGUGAUCGAGCAAUUUUACCAUGAUUCCGGGUACCGCAGGAGGAACUCUCCUUUUAAGAACUGUGAGGGUAGCCUUUGCAAUGGCUUCUGGAGUAGCCUUUUCCUUGUGUUCAGCCCCUGGGGUAACCAUGCUGGGCUUAAGCAGGAUUCCUUCGAACAUCACAUUGUUUUCAGCCAAGUAAUAGAAGACUUCGGACCAGACCUUCUCUGCCACUUCAAGUGUCCUUUCGAUUGGGUGGUCCCCGUCGAGAAGAAUCUCAGGCUCUACAAUGGGUACAAGACCAUUGUCCUGCAAAUAAUUUUAAAGCAAUGAAUCACACAGGAUCAAAAAUACAUACCAAUUCAUUGUUAACGACUUUUUAAACAAAAAGAAAAAACUAAUUUUUAUGUUUCAGAUAACAAUAGAAAUUUCACUCUUACAACAGAAAAUGUUUUGCAAAAUCCAACUAGCUAUCUAAAAGUGAACAUACCUGAGAAAUGGCAGCAUAACGAGCAAGUCCCCAUGCAGCUUCCUUAACUGCUAGAGCAGAAGGACCACAAGGAAUGCUAACAACUGUACGCCUGCACAUUUCAACCCGAGGACACUUGGAUAAAUUUAUCUGUCAAAUAGAAUUAUACCAACUGGACAGAACAAUAAUAGGACCUCUAUGGAGCAGAUGUCCACAAGAGAUUAAAUGACUUACCAUUUAGCAAAACGAGCACCUUGCUUGUAGUACUCAGCAGAUCGUGAAGCCAAUCCAUCUAAGCCUUGGCACCAAGAUUCAUUGUUUGAUCCCGGCAGGGGAACCAAACCCUGAACCACGGAAAAAGUAUGCAAAUAACAAUUAGGGAUCUAAUUCCAAGUAUUUCAAGAAAUUAAUCAAGCUAUAGAACACAUAUGUCCUAGUGGCCACAUACCUUGUCAACUUUGAUUCCAGGUACAAUUUUCUGGUCACACAACACAUCCACAAAUUUCUUCCCAUCGGUUGUAGACUGGUAAAGUGUUUCCUCAAAAAGAAUGGCACCAGAAAUGUAUUCGCCGAGGCCAGGGGUGGUCAACAAAAGCUGCCUGUAAGCCUGUCGGUUAACCUCGGUAUUGUCCAACCCAAUAGAGUCUAACCUCUUUCCACAAGUUGCAUUUGAUUCAUCAAUGGCAAGUAUACCACGACCAGGGGAUGCAAUGGUUUUCUGUACCAUCCAAAAAGAAGCAAAAACAAGUUAAAGGAUAUAAUAAUAAAGCUGCGACGGAGAAAUCAAUUAAACCCAAAUACAAGAAGUCUUAUAUCAAACUACAUAGGGAAGCAGAAACACAAAUUUCCAAUUUGUGGUAACCAAAAUCUUCCAAAUACAAGCAGUGUUAUAUCAAACUACACAGGGAAGCAGAAACACAAAUUUCCAAUUCGUAGUAACCAAAAUCUUUCAACGGUUACCAAAUACUUUUCUUCUAUUUAGAAAAUCCAUAAGAAACAAGAACAAAUAUAUUAAUCAAUCAAAGAGGAAUAGCACUGGACCACACGACGGGCCAUAAUAAUUAGGUAGGAAAGUCACCAUCUGAGGGAGUCGAACAUGAGACACUUCCAAGUGAAGCGGAAUACGACUAGAACUUACUAGUUACUACUUAGUGAUAGUGACCUAUUAAUAAAUUGAAUUAAGCAAAUCAAUCAUAGUGGAGAAACAGUUCAUUUCAAUCUUGAGUUCGAAUUCACAAAAGUCUAAUUCAACAAAGCAGUGAAAAUUAAAAUCAAUACUGAAACAAACAAAUCAAAUCAAAUCACAGAAAAUAAAUAAAUAGUAAUUCAAAAAAAAAAUUCAGUCUAAUAUAGAUUCAAGCACUCAGCCACCGAUGAAAUCAACAAACAAAAAUUUCAUUUUGUGCAUAAAUAUCAGCAAAUUGAAACUAAGUUAAAGAGAUGCGCACAGCGGUUAGGACGAGUUCGUCGGUGUAGGCCUUGGCUCGGAUCGGGACGGCGACUCGGCGAGUAGCGAGGCUAGUCGAUGAUCCUGGGCGCUGAGUGAAGGACUGCUGUCCGAUCCACUGAGAUGACGACGCAUUAAGCUUCGCGAAGCUGGAACAGGCCAUGGCUUCGAGCAAAGACGAUCGAAAUUACUUUGGAGAUGUCGACUGGUUGUUUGUUUCCCGAGAAAAUGUGGGUUUUCUUGCUGCUUUAAGUCUGACGGGGGUAGGUGGCUGCGAAGAGAAAGAGAGAGUGAUAAAAAAACAAGACGUCGUUAAUCUUUGGAGAGUCCGCGGUUGGCGUUACGGGUUGUAAUGGGACAACAAGCAACGUGCGAGGCUAAGUGCCAGUGAGUGAUUUACCAGAUUACCCUCUCUUAGAGCAACUCCACCCAUGAAGCCCUCCUCCUGGCAAUCUACUAUUCAAUCCACCCUAUUUGAACAGUAACUGCCUUAAAUGAAUAGUAAUUACCAUUAAUGAACAGUAAUUGCCAUUUACAUCUCCACCUUUGGAACCCUCCCCCUGACAAUAAGCAAUAAAAAUAAUAGUUUUUUAUGUUUGUUUAAAUAAUAAAAAAUUACAAAAACUAUCUCUCUCUCUCUCUCUGACACAAAAAAAAUAAAAAAUUACAAAACCCUCGGGCCACAGGCCCGUCGACUCCCCCACCCCCCCUUCGCUCGACCUCCCACCCUCACUCGGGCCCUUCCCCGCUGGAUUUGCUCCCACCGGCCCAAGGGCCCUUUCUCCUCACCUGACGCCCGAGCAACCAGCAAGGCUGGAGUUGCUCUUAUAUGACUACAUUGUCCUUGCACGCUGCCGAGGAAAAGAAACUGGGGGCAUCAAGGUCAUCUUCAACCGAGCCGAUUAAAGGGUUAUAGGGUUAAAAAUAACUCGGAAUAACAUGAAAAUCGUCUUCAACCAAGAGUUAGGUCAAAAGGCUAGUGGGCCCCACCUAGCUAAAACCCCUAAUCAGGCCAGCGAGCUGGCCAUUUCUAGCUAGCGCCAGCUCUCCAGCUCAACCCAUUUGAAUGUCAACGGUUACCUGGUGUUAGCAUGAUGCCAGCUAGCUGAUGUCAUGCUACCGUCAGGUUACCGUUGGAAUUUGAUUUUUUUUUUUUUUGACGAAUUGAAGAAAAAAAAAUCUAAUUUUUUUUCCUAUAAAUACCUUAGGCAUUCAUACAUCAUUUCUCAAAUAAUUUUCAUCAUUUCAUACUAUCUUACCUCAUUUUAUUUUAAUUCUUCACAUUAUAUUCUCUUACCUCUUCUAAUAAUCUUUCCUUUAAUUUUUUCAAUAAUUUUCAAGUAGCCACAUCUGCAAUGAAAGAAAGGGUUUAGACCCGAAAAGAAAAUGAAACUUUUUGCAAGGCUUAUAGAUUGGUCUCAAAAGAUAGUGUCAAGGGUAGUUCUCAAACAAGUGAAGGUGUUUGGACUUGAACGUCCAAAAAGUACUUUGAGUUCUACGAAUGCACCACUCCACCGAAUCCCCAUAACCACGAGAGUUGUUCUUCAAGAUGGAAAACAACACAAUCUCCAUCCUAGUACUACUUAGGGGAGUUAUGCAAACUUAAACAACAUUAAACAAAACAUUUAACAAACAUAAAACUUAAACGCCUACUCCAUUGUUCUUUUGGCCCAAAUAUGUGGAAUAAGAUCCUGUUGUAGGUACUUGUUUGUGACACGCGAACGUAUCAUCCUAUGACGUCUCAUGUACUUAUUUAAAGAGGUAUUACCAAUUAUUAGAUCCAAAGGCAAAUUAGGUCCAUCAUAUAUUUUCGCAUCAGCUGGGGAGACAUAGGCCAUCAUUCGAAGUGCAAUAGUAACAUUUUGAUGAGGUGAGAAACCAGAGCGGCCCGCUCUAUCUAUCUUCUGUCGAAGGUAUGGAUUGACAUUUUAGACAUCAUGAAGUAAACGCUCAAAGACACGAUGCCUCAUCUGGAAGCGACGUCUGAAAUCCUCUUAUGUGUACACCGAGUCACCGAGUUGGAGUUAAACUAGUUGUUCAUCAGAGUAUGCGAUCUCUCUAUUUCGUGGUUUGUAAGAGUGACCACCAACAGAGCCACCCCAUUGAGGUUGUUUUUCAGUUUCCUCACACGUCAUGACCCCAGCCAUUGCUGCCACAUAUAUUGUGUUGCGCCAUGCUUCAUCUUAUUCAUCGGACUCCUCAUCUUCUCGUCUCAUCUGCGCCCAUUUAUCUUUCUAUCUGAAAAUUUAUUAAGAUUACAUAAAGAUAAGAAAUUUGGAGAGUUACUCACUCAAGCGACACAUGUUAUUCAAAAUUAUAUCCGAAAAAUUAUUAAGAUUACAUAAAUAUAAGAAAUCUAGAGAGUUACUCACAUUAGCGACACAUGUGACUUUAAAUCCUGUCCAACAAAUUAUUGAGAUUAUAUAAAGAUAAGAAAUCUAGAAGCUUAUUCAUUUGGAGACAAAUGGCACUUAAAAUAUGUCAAAAAACCUUAUUUUAAUAUGGUGGUUUAAUUUAAGGGGUAAAUGAAUUUUAAUCCUUGUAUUGGAUUAAUUUUUUAUUAAAACCUGGUGUAGGAUUAGAUAUCUGAUCUUAGUCCUCCAUGUCAUCAUAAUUAUUAUAACUCAUAUUUUGUUAUUUUUAAACUCUUUAAUAGCUCUUUUUGUUCCUAUUGUGCCCCUGUAAUUAAUUAUUCGACCUUCUUGGUAUGUUCUAAAUUAUUAGGAACUAAUUUUGACUUUGAUUAAUUUAUGCUUGAUUUCUUCCAUGAUUAUGGUGCCUAAAAAGAUUUUUCAUACCAUCAUGCCUAAAUUACAAGAUGAAAAAAGUUAAGGUAUCACAUGCAUAAUACAUCAAAAAAGUGUAUGCAUCUAAAUAUUAGUACCUAACUAAACACACCCAAUUAUAGUACAUAGUUGAAAACACCUAAUCAUAGUACCUAAUUGAAUGCACCUAAAUCAUAGUACCUAAUUGAACGCUAAAUCAUAGUACCUAAUCGAAUGCAUCUACAUUAUAGUACCUAAUCAAAUGUGUCUAACUUAUCGUACCUAAUUGAGUAUAGAUGCAAUAGAUCAAACCCAACUCCAAACUCAACAAUUCAUACACUGACAAAAUGAUCAAAACCCGAUAAUAAAAUCAACCAACAUAAAAUAACAACAAAAACUAAUAAAAUAAGAAAUAUUACAAGCACAAUGCCACAAAAAAGUUACUGACCCCAUUCUCUUCGUUGCAAAUCAUUGGAAUCCACAUAGAUACACAAGCCAUAUACCAUUCAAAACCAACAGAAAGAAAAUAGAGAGAGACCUACUACAAAUGAUGAGAAAAAGGGGAAAAUCAUAAUUAGAAGAUGUGUGUGAAUAAAUCAGCCAAUACAUGAAUGGUUUGCCUAAUCCCGUUUUCAAUUGCAAAAGCCUAAUCUUUUUUUUCAAAGAAGCCUAAUCUCUAAUUCCUUUGAUGUUGCAUCUUUAAAUGCCGGAUGCUCAUUUUGAAUUAAAAAAAAUAUCAUUCAAUUGUGAACCAUUUAAUAGCAAUAUUUAGGGGUAAUAUAGGAAGACAAAACAUAGUAAAAUUACAUAAAAGAAAUUAAUUAUGACGUGGAAUAUAAAUGAUGAUUUGGACACGAGUCAAAGGACUAAAAUUAGUUUUUAAUCUUACUUAUGGUAUUUAUCUAAAAGUAAUCAUUUUUAAGGACUAAAAUCUAGUUUUCUAUUAAUUGGGUUAAUUCAAUUAAAAUAAUAAAUUAGUCGGAGAUGAUUUUUUGUCAAAGCGUUAUGUUUGCCCUUUGGCCCCCUUUAUUGAAGAUGAUAUAAAAUAUGACAUGAUAAUGUUUAUUAAAAUAUAAUUUCUUUCAGGGCUAUAGGGUUAAAAAAAAAGUCAUUUGACCCCAUUCGAUUCGAGAUGACCUAAAUGGGUCGGGUCAUGUUUACCCUUACCUAACAAUUGACAACUUGCAAAUGCGGCUUGCUUUAGGUUGGCGGAGAAAAAAAAAACAAAAGAGAAAUGUUGCGCAAUCUCUUUACAUUUUGAUUUUUUUAUUUCAAAAAUAAGAAAUUUGCUUUUGUCUAAGAAUUAAAGAUAAGUAAUUCAGUAUUGGGAUCUGGUGGUAUUCCUCUUCACUUAUGAAUGAGAGAUCUUAAGUUUAAAUCUCGUGAAUGAUGAAUUUGAUACUAAAUUAGGCUGCCCAUUAUGUGGCUUAACUGUAGUAUAAAAAAAUAAUAUCAAUGUACUAAAAAAAAAGAAUUAAAGAUAAAAAAUAAAAAAAUUAUACGUAAAAGUUAUUGUUUAUGUGUUAUUUUUAUUUUGCACGUUGCUUUAGCGCGCAAUGGCACUAUGGCAGAAAGCAAUUAUCUGCCCUUUUGCGAGUUUCAUUUAUUUUGGCUCUCCUCUCUUUAAUAAUUAUUGUUUAAACUAUUACCGCUAUCACGCUAAUAAAAAAAAGCUCUAUUUUUAUUUAUUUAUUUGUUAUAGAAAUGUAUGUAUGAUAUUUUUACUUUUAGAAUGACAAUUACAUCUCUAAAUUUGGUUAAAAAAAUGUUGCAAGUAUUGUUAAUUAUGUGUUUGUCCACUUGAGGCGAACAUAUAAUAUCCCAAUACUUUUGCACCUUUUUAUGUAAAUCAUAAGUCUAUAAAUAAGUACUCUAAUGAAAAUGAAAGAUGACCUUGAUUUCUCCUUCACUUUCUCUCUUGUAUGUCCUAUUUUCUCCGACUCUACACUUUAUUUUUAAUACAUUAUCACCACAAUUGCUUAUCGAUUUUUCUUUCUGUAUUAAAAUAGAAUUAAACACCACAAUAACAAUGCAAUGAAGAGGAAAAGAAAGCGAUCUCCCAUCUCUUUCGUGAUUAGGGGUGCAACUUGAGCGAGUUGGGCAGGUUGGAAGGUCAACUCAAUCCUAACUCAACUUUUACAAUUCGACUUGGAUUCGGGUUGGGUUUCAUUCGGGUUCAUUUGUACUCAAGUUUAAUUGGGUUGCCCAACUUUUUCAAGUUUAAUCUUGUAACAACUUAGUUUACAAGAAUUCCUAACAAAAUUAAGCCCAGUAGCAUCAAAGCUAGCUAACUCUAAUUUCAUAAAUCAAUCUACUAUAAAGCUUUGAUUUAUAGAUUACGAAUAUAGGCUAACUAAUCAAAGUCUUUUAUUCCCUAAAAGCUUAAGUAAUUAUAAAGGGUAAUUUAUUAAAAAAAUAUUAGAAAGGGCGUUGGUUUUUGGACUUGGCACACUUGGGUGUAGUAUGAUCAUUAAUUGAUAUGAGUUACAAUAUGGUUAGAUUAGAUUUGGUUAGUCGGGGCUAGGUUGGGUUGGGGAUAGACGGGCUGAUCAACCCAACUCAACCCAAUCAAUGAACGGGUUGAAAUUGGGUUGGGUUCGGGCGGGUUAUAACUAAAAAAUACUCGUUUGUUUGGGUUUAAAGUCAGGUUGGACAUGGACGGGUUCAAAUUGACCUAACCCAAAUUGCACUCCUAUUCGUAAUUCACGAUUCUGAUGCUUGCACGACAAAUUUGACAUAGGCCAAAUGAGGCUUUAUUUUAUUUUUUUGGUAAAGGCCAACGAAAAUCCUUGUUAUGAAAAUAGUGAAUUAAGUAAAACAUGAUAAUUUCCGUAAAAAAAAAAGGUGGCAUUUACUUUUUAUAUGAUGUUUUCAUUCAAUCAGCUAUAUUAGUUCAGUUAAAGUUACUUCAUACUGAUACAUGUGGUCUCAUCUUUAUUAGAGAAGUCAUCCAAAUGUAUAACAAUUUUUGUUAAUUAACCGGGUUCGGAUCAUAAGAUUGCAAGUACAAUUUUCAAAAGAAAACAAAAUGUUUGACGAAUUAUUGUGGAAAAAAAGUGUGGGAAAAAGAAGUAAUGCACUAUUUGAAAAUUUGUGGAUAAGUUUCCAACACUCCACGUCAGAGCGUCCCCACAACUAAAAAAAUAAAACCACCCCACGUCAUCACAGUGGACCCUACUUUUAGAUCCAGCUGGCGCUUUCACUGUUAAGCGGUUAACCAACAAACCACACCACAGGGGAACCCCAAACCCUAACCUGCAGCUCAAACUUCAUGUUGUUCAUUUUUCAAUUAUUCAACAUCUAUCUCUCUGAAAAUCCCCAAAUCUCUCUCACGAAGAGUCGAAGGCCAUGGCUACGGACGGCGCGGCGGACCGACGGAGGCCACCGCCGCAAAUGCUGAGCGCAGGCAACAACGGGAACUGCGUGAUGAGCUUGUCGAACAGGUUGAGGCUGAUGCCGAACAAGGAGCACAAGGCGGAGAGCUACGAGGACCUACAGCAUUUGGAGUUCAGUCCCUUGCUUUUCAGCUCGCUGGAGCGCUACUUGCCUCCCACCAUGCUCAAUGCCUCACGUGACCUCAAGCUCCAGUACAUGAGGGACAUCCUCCUCCGGUACUCGCCCGAGAGCGAACGCACUCGUGUAAGUCAUGAGACUCUAUCUCUUUAGGAGUGGAAUUUGGCAAAUGCGGAAACUGAAAAUGACUUUGAAGUUUGGAAGUUUUGGAUUUCUUGUUAUGUGAAUUUUAAUUUAUGGAUAAAUGUGUGAAAUGUGUUUGCUUCAGUUGCGAUUGCGGAAGAAUGUGUAAUUUCUUUGAAUUCUCCAGAAAUGAUUGAUGUGGAUUUUCAAUUCCUGUGUUAAAUUUUGAUGCAUAGACGAGGGAGAUAAGGUUGAGUAGGAAUAACAUAUAGUCAGAACAGGCAGGGGCAAUGUGCUCUGGUUAAUUAGUCAAUGCGGCGUUAUUGUGCUCCUGAAAAGCUCAUAUGUUUCUCUGUUUGAAUAAACAGGUUCAACGACAUCGAGAAUACAGGCAGAAGAUCAUUGCACACUAUCAGGUGCGUUUAAUGGGUAAUAUGCUGUUGACGUUUAGACACUUGCUGUAAUAUGUAAACAACACAUUUAUGAAUUGCCGUCGAGUGUUGCAGUCAUUAAAGCUAAGUCCCUUCUUUUGGUACUCCUGGAGUUGAGGGCUUGAGUUUUGUGCAUAAGACAUUUAGUCACAAUUGCAUGUCAACAAACUGAAAUAAUUUCCUUCUUAAUCGGUCCUUCCUCUUUGCAGCCUCUACAAAGGGAGUUAUACACGCUGCAAGCUGCAAAGUUCUUUGUCCCCUCAUUUCUCAGAGCAAUCAGUGAGAACACAGAGGCUAGCUUUAGAAAUAUACUGUCUGAACCCUCUCCUGGAGUUUAUACCUUUGAAAUGCUUCAGCCGGAUUUCUGUGAAUUGUUAUUAACUGAGGUAUCAUUUUGGAUAUAAGUUAAUUUUCGCUUAAGCUACUUUUUUCUAUUUUCUUAUCAAAUUCUGAUUUCUUAGGUGGAAAAUUUUGAAGGGUGGGUCCAUGAGACAAAUUUCAGAAUCAUGCGACCAAAUACAAUGAAUAGAUACGGUUGUGUUCUUGAUGACUUUGGUCUUGAAACCAUGCUUGACAAGUUGAUGGAGGACUUUAUACGUCCUUUGUCUAAAUGUAUUUCAUCUCUAAUAUUGUGAAAUUGUAAUUAGAAAAAGUUCUUAUGUGUGAAAGAUUAGAACUAAUGUUAUACUCGUUUUUUUGUUUGUCUGGGUUUAUGUAGUUUUCUUCCCAGAAGUUGGCGGAUCCACACUGGAUACUCAUCACGGUUUUGUUGUUGAAUAUGGAAGCGAUAGGGGAUGUAGAGCUUGGUAGGUGCUCAUCCAUCUGGAAGUUUUGGAUUUAGUUUUUUGAAAAAAAAGUAUUUGUACUGAAACUAAAAAAAAGCAUUUGUACUGAAGCCUCUCUCUCUCGGACAAGGAUUGUCUACCCUCCCACUUCCGGUGCCCUCCCGUGCCCUCCUGUUUUGUGUGGUCACGGUUAAGCCACGUCAACAUUUUAUAUUGUUUUUUUUUAUAGAGAAAUAAGACAAAAAUGAAUAGUAAUAUAAAAUGUUGACGUGGCUUAACCGUGACCAUACAAACAAGAGGGCACGGGAGGGCACCGGAAGUGGGAGGGAAGACAAUCCUUGUCCCUCUCUCUGCGCCAUUUCCACUCUAUAUUUCUGCCGGUUAUAAUUAUUUUCUCAGAACAGUUUUUGAUUGUUGGUCUAGCUGAUAUGAUAUGAUUUCUCCUUAUUUAUGUUUUCAUAAUCGUGUCCAAUUUAUUUAUGUUUUCAUAAUUGUGUCCAAUUUGUUCAAUAAUGUAUGUCUGUCUUCGUCUUAAACAUCUGUGCGCUAGAUUUAUAGCUUGUUAAGCUUUUAUGAAUCCACAACAGCUUUAUAUUGCAGGUUUUCAUGUGGAUGAUUCAGAAGUCACCUUGAAUGUUUGCUUGGGAAAGCAAUUUUCUGGUGGAGAUUUGUUCUUUCGAGGUGUUCGAUGUGAUAAACAUGUUAAUUCAGAGACACAAUCUGAGGUAUGCUGUUCUUUAUGAUCAAUUUUAGGUACAAUUUUUUAUUUAGGGUCACACUUUUCAUCUUUUAGUAAUACAAAUGCUUUGGAGUAUCAUAUUUGAUAUCAUAUUUUUUAUUUAGGGUCACACUUUUCAUCUUUUAGUAAGUUGCAUGUUUACUUUUUUUAGUUAUAUUUUCUUCAUUAUAAUAUAUCUUUUUAUUUUUGUACAGUUUACCAUGUAUGUAUUGAACUUUUUCCUUGGAAUUUUUAUAAUUCUACUUAUAGGAAAUCUUUGAUUAUACUCAUGUUCCGGGACGUGCCAUUCUUCAUCAUGGUCGCCAUCGGCAUGGUGCUAGAGCCACAACAUCGGGGCAUCGAGUCAACUUACUAUUAUGGUGCAGAAGGUACCUUUCUCCACCUUUAGUCCCCCACACAAGAAAUUCAAGAAACCUAAACUAAUGAUUUUAUGGAUAUCACAAUCUCCCUAACUUUUUAGUACCUGCUCUGUGUGGAAUAAGUAUCCAAUGAAUGCAACUUACCAAUUCAUUCAUGGUUUGAUAUCAAUUAAUGUUGGUUGCGUACACAAUAAAGCAUGUGCAAAAUCAACAUUAAGAGUACUGGUCUUUAAGUAGAGUUAAGUGAAAUGUUGGAAUAUGCGGGUUUCACACAGUUGAUUUCUCCUAAACAUUAGUUCUCGAUUGUUUUCUCAAUUGAUUGCGCACAUUGUAAUCACACUGAAUGGCCUUGUAAACAUACAUUACGGAAAAUAUCAUCUAAGAAAUUAAUGGAAUUAUUUAAGGCUAACCUUUGGAUCUUGGUCUCAUUAGGUUCUAGGAGUUUUUUUGCCUGUAUGCUGGUUGAUGUAAUGACAAUUAGUUUUGCAGAAGCUUUUCUAGGUAGGCUUACAGUAAAAUUGUCAAAACAUAGGGUUUUACUGCAAGGAUUAUCUCAAUUAUGCAUUCUUGUUUACCAAUUUACUUGCUUUGUAUCCCCAAUCUUCUUGUAGUUCGGUGUUUAGAGAGCUGAAGAAAUAUCAGAAAGAUUUUUCCAAAUGGUGUGGAGAGUGCAAACGUGAAAAAAAAGAGAGGCAGCGUCAAUCAAUUGCUGCAACCAAACUGGUACGGUACAUUUGAUAUGAGACAGAGAAAAAUCAGCGUAUUCGUAUAUUUAACAUUAGUUAAUCUUUUCACAUCUGAUUGUAUUUUUCAGGAAAUACUCAAGAGAGAUGGACAAACCGCCUCUUGAGCUGCUUGUUUUGUAUGUUUUUACUACCGAUACUUCUUGAUCUGUUCAUCAUGCAACUUUUGCUUGUGAAGUUGUAAAUUUACUCAUCCUUGUCAGCACAUAGAAGUUUUUCGUGUCUGUUUUCAAAUUCGUACUCCAUCCAUUUAUAGAGACUACGGUUGGGCUAUUUGUUAGUAAUAUGAAAGGGGCCGGUGUUGUUGUGUUUUUACGGUGUGCUUCAAUGCUUUUGCGUACACAGCUCGACAAGUAACUGUGAUGUGUUGUAUUGAUUAUAUUUUAAGUCAUGCAUGCAUUGAUAUAUAGGAAAGUUAAGGUAUUUGACAUUGCAUGAUUGAGUUGGAUACCCCCCGACAACGGCAUUUCUGUUGUAAGUUUCUCUCCCACCGUCCACAUACAAAUCUCGAGAAUUUCAAAAUUCAGAAAACCUGCUCUGAUACCAAGAAAGACCAUCUAACCGUCUAUUGGAUCGUCCACAUACAAAUCUCGAGAAUUUCAAAAUUCAGAAAAUCUGCUGUGAUACCAAGAAAGAUCAUCUAACUGUCUAUUGGAUCUUAUUCAACGGCGUCUUUAGUUUGACCAAAGUAGUAAAGUCAAACAUGCUUUCUCUGUUUCUCUAGGUCUUUUUCUCUUAAGGAAUUGGUUUAAGAAAGCAAGCGAGUAAAAGAGUUUUGAAACCAAAUGUGGAUUGGUGCUGAAAUCCACAUCCCAAAGGUCGUUAUGCGUGCAUGAACCUUUCAACAUUCUUCACACAUUACCGCACAAAUGGAACAAUGUCAUCCAUCCGAUCACAAUCUCCCACCUGAAUAUGAGAGGCGGUGAUACUUUUGACUCUUUGAGAAACAUAGUGACUUAGGUAAAGUAGUGUUCAAUUCCUGAAAUGAGUAAAAUGAUACUUUUUAAGUCACACAUUAUAACCGGAGAAAUUUUUUCAAGUGGCCGGUAUUUAAGCGGAUAUUUUACGUGAUAUAAAAUAGGUGAAAGUAUAUGAAAAAAUAUAUCAUUUAUCUCACAUAUAUUAUGAUACGUAAAGUACUACUUAAACACCAACACCUAGAAAAAUCUCUCACAUGAUAGGUCAAGGUCAAAAUAAAAGUAGUUUUAGUGCUAUUGAUAGGGUGAAGUUAUAAGGAUGGAUUAAUUAAUUAAACACAAUUGUUAGACACCUACAAUUAGAGAAACGGAAAGGGAUUCUCUCCGGAUCCCUUCCACCUAAUCCUCCUCAUCAAAUAAUUCAGGCCCUUGAAAUUUGAUCUAACGGUUAAAAUUAUUAUAAUUUUUAAAGUAGACCCAUGUUUUUAGUUGUUAGAUCAAAUUUUAAGAUCCCAGAUUAUUUAAUAAGGAGAAUUAGAUGAAGGGGAUCCGGAGAGGAUCCCUUUCCUAGAGAAACAUAAACAUAUUUUAGUCAUAUGUAUUAAUAAAUUUUCUACUUCAGGUGGCCGCUGUCAAGUCAUACCUAAGUAGGGAAUGAUCUUCCAAGUCAUCUUCUUUUACCUAAUAAAUUUCGUUGGGAUUCUUGUCGACUCUCGAAGGAUCUACAAAGAAUGCAUCCGAAAGGGAUUCCUGCUAAUAAAUAUAUCAUUUUCCUUCUCGACUGUUCCUCCGGGGAUGUGAUCGUACAAUUAUAAUAUGAUUUCAAAGCCCCUUCUUGAAGUAAUUGUGAUUAAUUUACUUUAAUUCAUUGCUACGGUGUCCAAUAUACCGUCCUACUUGUCGUCGUUCUCAUUGUCGCUGUCGAUAUCAUUAUUUCUCGUCAAUCAUAUAUUGUCUCGAUCCUUCUACUAGGAACAUCUUUUGACUAAAUUAUAAUAUGUGUGUGAUUGGCACUUUUUGGUCAAUUAGACGAUAGAUCGGGCACCCCUAUGCACCUUUUGUUUAUGAUAAGGUUUUGAUUUGAUACAAUAGGAGUGUCGAUUAUUUUCGCUUAAAACAAGUACAACUUGUUGGAUUAAUAUUAGAAAAUAGAAUGUUUUAAUGAAAAUUCUAUAAUACUGUUCACUUUAAGGAAAAAUCAUAUUUUUACAUUAAAAAGUUAAACUUGGUACUAUUUAUUUUACUCUUUAUUUUGUCCUUAUCAUUAAAACUCAAAGUUUUCAAACCAUUUUCAUAAGUUUUCUUUAGAAAAUAUGAAAUAUAACAAUAUAAUUCUAAUGAUAAUAAUUACAAAGAAAUUCACAACAUCAAUUAUAUAUGAGAUUAAUAUAAACAACUAGAGAGAAAUUUAGAAAAAUUGACAAACUUGGAGAUUGAGGCUUGCAUAAAUACAAUGUCCUAAAACAGAAUUUCGCCUCUACUUUUGUGCUUGUAAUUCAGUAGGCGUCUGUCUCCCAAUAUUCAAUAAUUUAUAAAUCCGAAGUUUAAACACUUCAAUAUUCGAACUCAGACGAACUUUAUAUAUUUCGUACUCUUAAGAUACGACUCGGAAUUUGACAAACGAAGAAUGAGAGAAAUAAAAUGGAGAAACCUUAUUUCUCAAGAGUAAAAAUUAACUCUAAUUUUGUGUAUUUAAUGAUAAUGGAUUUAUGGGUUUAUAUAGAACCCAUUGUGUUGUUUGGUGUAAAGAUGCAACUUUGCAUCUAUGUAACCUACACCACUCAUCAAACUACACGUCCCAAAUUACAAAUAAUAUGAUGCAAUUCUUUGCAUUAGACGCAACACUUAAAGAAUAAACAAGAUUAAUUUUUUCAUUCAAUAUUUUGAAAUUAAAUACUAUAAUAUCUAAUAAAUAUUAUAAUAUAAAUUUCCAACACAACUUAGAGAGCAAGUUGGUUUAGCUCUUCCUUUGCACACUUGAUGUGAAUAGUAGAGUUCCCUCACUUCAAGAUGAACUUGCCUUUUGCACGUGUUUUCUCGUGUGUGAAAUGUUUUUUUUUUUUUAUUAAAAAAAAUAUAAUUGAGCAACACGCGACUUACAUAUUUUUUAGCAAUUCUAUAUCAAGUUUGCACCAAUUGUUUAUCUAUGUUGUGAAAAACUUAUAUGCAACUGGAAAGUCAAAAUGACAGUAUUCUACACCUAUUAUAUAUUAUAUAUUUUAAUUACUAACAUGAUAUCGCGUAAUUAAUUUGUAAUACAGUUACCUUCACAUGUAAAUUCUCUUUCUAAAUGCUUAAAAAGAAAGUGAUAAAAAGUGAUGGUAGUUCAACAUUGCACCCAAAUACUAAAAAGGCUCUUACUUUUGAAUUAAAUUGCCCACAUUUCUUUUUUAGGUAAAUUACAUAGUAACCCCUUAUGUUUGAGGUCUAUUACAACUCCAUACAACAUUUUUAAAACAUUUUACUUUUAUACCUCACGUACUAUUUUAUUUCAAAAUAAUACCUCCGUUAGAUUUUUCAUCCAUUAACUACCAUAUUUGUGCCACGUGGCUGCCAAAUGUGUGCCACGUGGCCAAAAACUCACUCACCUUCCCCCGUUGCUCUUUCCAACUCUCAUAUGCGAUAUCUAUCUCUCUCUCUCUCUCUCUCUCUCUCUCUCUCUUUUUCUCUCUUCAAUCCUUCUCCUUCUUCCUUUCAUCUUUCUUGCUCAUCUUUCAUUUCCCAAAACGCCUAUCUCUCUCCCCAAAAUUCCCUCAAAGUCUGCCUAGCAGACUUCCCCAUAUCCCUCAACUAUGGUUUCCUCGAAAAGUAUUAGGCUUUCGACCUCGAUUCAUGCCUCCAAACGGACACCGACCACCAAAUCUCUGAUGCGGCUGCUGCUAAAGCUGGACUCGAUGCCCGGGGUGGACCUCGCUGUGAGGCAAACGAGGAGAAAUGUGAGUCGUCGGAUCGUGGGGCUGCAGGAGAUCGUGGACCUUCCCUUGGAGUCGAUCUCGUCGAAUCUUGUCAUUGUUGAGGAUGAGCAUGAUGGGCGGUGAUGAAGAGGUGGGGGAUGAUCUCGACGGAUCCGAAACGAGGAAAGUCAAAUCUGAAUCGGAGAAAUGUGGGGGAGAAUGAGAUUUGGGCGUUUGUUUGGAUGGGAUGAGAGGUGAAAAGAGUGAAGGAGAGGGAGGUGGGCUGGGGUUGGGGGGCUGGCGGGGGAGGUGGGGUUAGGGUGGAAAGGGGUGUUUAGGUUACAAGGAAGGGGGAUGGGGAGGGGAAGAAGAUGGGUGGGGAUGGGUUGUGGGGAAGGUGGGGUGUUGGGUUCUGCGUUUUUCAUUUUUUUUAAUUAAAAAUAAAUAGAAAAUUGCCAUGUGGCACAAAUGCGGCAACCACGUCAGUAUUUAACAGAUUAAUGGAUGGAAAAUCUAACGGAGGUAUUAUUUUGAAAUAAAAUAGUACGUGAGGUAUGAAAGUGAAAUGUUUUUAAAAUAUUGUAUGAGGUUAUAAUAGACCUCAAACCUGAGGGGUUACUAUGUAAUUUACCCUUCUUUUUUAAAGAGAUUAUUAGUAUUAUUCCGUAGUAUUUUGGACCAUCGUUUGGAGUCUGCCAUCAACGUUGAAGGGACAAUGCCUAUUCUGUUGAAAAAAGGAAAUGGUGAUCGGACUUGGAUUGUCUGCUCUCCCCAUUCCAUAUCCUCUCCAUGCCCUCCUAUUUUUGUGGUCACGGUUAAGUCACGUUAAUAUUUCAUAUUCUCAUUACUUUUUGUCUUAUUAUUUCUAUAAAAAAAAUCAAUAUAAAAUGUUGAUAUGGCUUAACCGUGAUCAUAAAAUAUAGGAGGGCAUGUGAAAUACAUGGAAUGAGGAGGGUAGACAAUCCAAGUCCAUGGUGAUCGACCUCGUGGACCUAUGAAUACGUCCAAAGCUAAAAGAAAGUUGACCAAGUAAGCAACAAAAUAAGGUGGACGUACGGGUACGGGGGCAAAAACAAUAAUGAGAAUUGAGACUACAUACAUAGGAGAUCAACGGCUUGCCUACUGUGCCGACGUUUUGAACCGAUAACGCAAUAUUAUGUCGACAACAAAAAAUUUUACAUGACAUUAUGUAUUUAGAGUGAAACGUCACGCUAACAGCGAAUUCAUUUUAUAAAAAUCUUUCCUCCAUUCUUAGGGUUAAAACUUAUAAGAGGGAAGUUGACAAGCCAACAUAAACCCAAAAUUUACACUUGAUCAUUUUUAAUUGCAUAAUAAUUAUUAAGGUUCUAAAAGACGUUAGGAGCUAGUCAGACGGAGGAUUGGGCCUAGCGCCUAGAAGGGUGCCUAGGCAGACUAGAUGAAUUUAAUUAAAUAUAUUAUAUUUCGUGUAAAUAAGUGUUUAUUUAUACUUAAAAUAUAUAUAAUUUCAUCAUAAACUACAAAAUAGAAUGACAUAUAUAUUAUGAGCUAUUGAAACAUAAUGAAAACAUGGGAAACAAGCAUAUAAUGUUUGUUCAUUUAAAUAUUCAACAAGUCUCUUACAAUUUAUUGAAAAAAUAAAUAAACUGCAAAAUGAAAAUUGUCUAUUUUCUGUCUAAAUGAGUCGCAACCUAGGCAGGUGCUUAUGCGGGCUUUGGUGGGUUAGGCCAGUGCCUAAGCGGGUUAGGCGGGCGCUUGCAACCUAGGCAGGUGCCUAGGCGGGCUAGAUGGCUGCCUAGGCUGAUCUUGGCGGGUGCCUAGGUGGUCUAGGUGCCAUUUUUUAAUUUUCAAACACCUAGGCAAUAAUCGGGGCGUGACUAACCGCCUAACGCCUAGACAGAACCUAGACGACGCUAGGCAGAAAUUUUUAAAACAGUGAUAAUUAUUCUCAACAGCAAAACAGCUUCUGCCUUUGGGGUAUCUUGGAAUAUUAAAAAUGGCAAAUUGGCAACUAGGAGCCAACGGUAUGGUCGGCGGAUACGUGGAUCUUCGUGGACCCUAAUUAUAUUAUUUCUCUCUUUCUGAUCAAUUAAUAAACACACACGGGGGUUACUAAUUAUAAUUAUAAUUUAUAUGUAGGUUUAGUCCUCAAUUUUUAAUACAUAUACUUGAUUAAUUAGUCGGCGGAGAUCAGGAAAAAUCUUACUCCAUGUCUUUGAUUAUUUGUCUAAUCCCACCGCCCAACGCUUGUCAUUAGUUGAUCACUAAUUAUCGUUGGAAUCACACACGUCUGUUUAUAUACAAGUUGGAUAUCUUACCGACAAUUAUUUUUCAUUUUCAACCGAUUUUCCUACCACCCAAUGCAGCUGCUGUGCUGGAUAUGUUCUUGUUUCUACUUUUUUUUAUAUAUCAUUUUUAUAAUUUUAUUAUUAUAAAAGGGAUAGAAGAGUUUAAAAUUAUUACAAUAAUUUAGGAGAAGAUGGAUUUUCAAACCUAAAACGCAUAAGUGAAAACCAACACCUUGUUUACUAGGAUAUUUGACCACAUGUUCUUGUUUCUACCAAAUCUAUCAGAAAGAAACAAAUAUUCUUGUGGUUAAGGGUGAGAAAAUUUUAGUUCAUACACAUAAUGUCGUGGAUAUGGAUAGUUAUUAAUGCUUUUAAAUUUUUAUAAAAGCGUAUUUUAUAUUAAUUUAUUUAAAUUAAAGGGAGAAGAUGUUCAAAAGUUAAGUGUGACAAGACAAGUGGAGCAUUCUGUCGCACCUCUAAUCAACUUAAUUAAGUUCAUAACAGUUGGUCACUAUUUCUUAAUGUGGUUAAUUCCAACUAAAAUUAGAAGAAGAUUUGACUUUUGUUAUCAUGCUUAUUUUUAAUUGUUAGUUUUUUCCUUAUCAACUUGCUAUCAUCUCUUUUCAAGGUAUGUAAAUGUGACCUUUACCUGUUGAAUAAUUUUAUAUUGAUUACCACCUAUAACGCAGCAUGGCUUUACCAACAGUACAUAUAAUUAUUUUGAGAUAAAUGCUAGGAAGACACUUUUAAAGUGAAUUUUUUUGUAUAUUUUAUGUCACCUUAUAGUUUAGUGUCAAUUCUGAUGACAACAUUAUAAAAUAUUGUGCCAAAAACAUGAGGUGAAGAAAGUUCAUAGAAAGUUUCACUUUUGAGAGAGUCCCCUUAACAUUCUCUUAUUUUAAACUUAAUUUAACUAAUAAAUUACUCAAACCAUAGUGUUUUGCCAAGGAAUCAAUUUAUUUUUUUAAUGCGAAUAAAAGAAAUUAAAUGGAAAUUAAGUAAAACAAUCCACCGCUUACCAAGAAAUCAAUUUAUUCUACACUAAUCUAUAUAGAAAAGAAAGAGUUUAAACCCCGAAAUUUAGCGAGUUAAAAAAAAAGAUAUUAUAAUUAUCAGGAUAUUUCACCACUUACAUAUAUAUAUAUAUAUAUAUAUAUAGGAGCUUAAGUUAAAUAAACGAUGAAGAGAUAUAUAUAUAUUCCUUUAAUAAUAUCUUAUAAAUAUCAAAUGUACAAUCACACAUUAAUGUUAGGAAAAAUAGGUUUUCUUAACUCAAAAGAAUAAAAUGGUGACUAUGCGAAACUAGCUAGUGGCGAUAUGGGCCAUGCAUGGCCAUAUUCAGACUAAGACAGGCUGAGCUACCGUGUGAUGCGUGCAUCGAAAUUUCAAAAAGAUUAAAGAAACUUUCAUGUUCAUUAGGAUUAUGAUUGGGAUUUGGUUAGAUUUUAGAUAGAGUAUAUUGGAUGGACGGCAACUCGUAAUUUCGUACACAAGCUACAUUCAUUGGUAGUGGCGGAUCCAGGAAUCUUACCCCAAGGGGUCGCAGUGUAAAAGUUCAAAUAAAAAUUUAGGAUGGAAAAACAUAUUGAAAAUGAAAUCAUAGUACUUUCAUUCAUAAUUCAUAAUGGAAACAAUAUUACAAACUAUAAUUGUCCACGACGAGGUUUCAUAUUUUGAAAACAAAGCAUUAUAGCUUCAUUUUCAAUACAAGCAAAAAUAUCUCUCUCAAUAUAAACAAGUGAGCUAUCACUCAACCAUUGAUCUCCCAUUUUGUUCCUAAGUGGACCCUUAACAAUAUUCAUGACAGAAAAUGUUCUCUCCACUGAAGCAGUUGCAACUGGUAAAACUAAAGACAAUGUAAUGAGCAAAUAUACAUAAUUGAAUACUUGAUGCAUCCUUGUCUCCACCAUUUUUUUUGCAAGAUCACCAAUCCCUUCCAAUUGAGAGAAAUCACUACUGGAACACACAUAAUGAAUAUAAAUCUCAAGUUGAUCUUCAAGUGCCAAACGAUCUUCAUCCGAAAAGUCUUGAGGAUAAAAUUGAGCAAGACGAAGUAACUUUGGUUUAUCAAAAGCUACAAAUGAAUCUUUCGGACUCAAACAUGCCAUACAAAUAAGCAACUCGGUAUUUACCUCAUUAAAGCGAUCCUCUAACUCCGUAAUUUGCUCAUCAAUGACAUAAAUAAAGAGCUCCACACGAUAAUGAUGACGAUUUGUCUUUAUUGGAGCAUAACGCCUUGACCUCCCUGGAAGUAUAAAUGCCUCUUCCAUGUUAGGAAUCAUCAAUAUGAUGUGUUUUUCACAAAAAGAAGAUACUUCAUCAACCAAUGCAUCGAACCCAUUAUUCCUCAUCCAAUAUAGCUUUUCCUUGCAUGAUUUCACUAAAGCCAUUGCAUUCACAAUUUCUUGAUCUUUCUUUUGCAAUGCUUGUGACAAAUCAUUUGUGAAGUCCCCAAUAUGACUUUCAAAUCAAAAAAGGUGAAACACAAACUCAAAAAGUAUCACUCUCAUUAACUUAUUUGCUUCACCCGCACUUUCAUUGGGAUUAUCAUCAAUAAACCAUUUGAAGCACAUGAACCACGGAUGAAAACAUAGAAAUGAUGCUAAUCAAGGUACCAUAGUGUGAGUUUUCAUCGUGUGUGUCACCGGCACGUUUGAGACUUGUUGAUUUAUUUAAGCCUCACCCCGUUAUAAGACAAUCAUUUUCAAAAGCUAUCACAAGCUCUUCUUGAAGUUGCCCUCUAAGUGAAUCACGCCGCUUACAAGAUGCUCCAACAUGAUUAACCACACUAUUAGCCGUUGCAAAUGCAAAAAAGAGGCGGCAAUGUCUAUAUUCUUCUUUGCUACGGCAACAAGAGCUAGUUGAAGUUGAUGAGCAAAGCAAUGAACAUAAUAUGCACAAGGUUGUUCUCUCAAUAUCUUUGUUUUAAGGCCAUUCAACUCACCUCUCAUAUUUGCUAGCACCAUCAUAACCUUGUCCUCCUCAUAAAUGCUCAAACCGUUGCAGAAGAAAACAAUGUGUCAAUAGCAAAUUAAUCUUGUCUUUAGUGAACUUUGAAUUACAAUGUAGAACUUGUAGUGGUCGGUAACAUGUUGGAUACCCACAAAUCUUUCAAUUACAUGCCCGUUGUCAUCCACAUAACGCAACACCAUAGCCAUUUGCUCUUUCACAGACACACAUCACGUGCUUCAUCCACCAAUAUUGAAAAGAAUCUAUCUUUUAGACCAUCCAUGAUAGCAUCAAGUGUUUUCAAGGGCACAUGAAUUCACAAUUUCUUUUUUUAAUGGAAGGAGCUAGUAAUUUGAGAUUCCCCGGAGCAUUUUCCAUCACAACUUCUCUAACUUUAUCAUUAUUAUCUGCAAGGAAUUGCAAUAACUCUAAGUAAUUUCCCCUAUUGCUUGAAGUGGCACUUUCAUCAUGGCCACGAAAAGGAAGACCUUGUCGCAAUAAAAAAACUUAGUGCACUUGAUUGAAGCAAUAAAGCAUGUGCGAUAAGCCUUACGAGCUUGGUCAGAGUGUUUGCUCACUGCCGUUCCGUUUCAAUAUGUGUAGCUUGAUUCAUCAAAUUUGUAGCAGCUUCUCUAGCCUUAUUAUGAACACUCCCAACCGGUCCAACAUGCAUCUUAAAUCUUUCUCUCCCUUUCUUCCAAUUCUUAAAUCCAUCUCCAGUGAAAGCUUCACUACCCACUUGUUCAAAAUUGGUUUUUUAAAGAGAUAGCAAUAGAGACAAAAUGCCGCAUCUUUAGAUACACUAUACUCCAACCAAUCAAACUUAUCAAACCAUUGGGGAAUGAAGCGUCGAUUAAUUCCCGACACAUAUUAGUUAUUGGGAAAUUAUGACCUCUAGGUUGACAAGGUCCUUUUUGUAGAUAUAAUCUUUCGGACCUCAUCUCUCAUAUUAGCAUCAUAAUCUAUUAUUCGAGUUCUUAAUCCAGGAUCCGCUUGAAGAUUACCCCAAAACAUCAUCUAACUGACUUUGUCUUGAACUUGGAGUUUUUGAAACUACCAACAGUAUUUGAACUAUCAACAUUAUUCGAACUACCCGAACCCGAUGAUGACUUUCUCUUAAAAAACCGUUCCAUUAAUAAUGCUACAUAUACAAAAUAAAAAAUAACAUUCUACUUUACAAUAUAAAUACAUAUACAAACAUAAAUAAUCAAAUAAAUAUGAAUUGAUUUCAUUAAAUUAAAUAUCUCAUCUUCAUUCAUACAUAAAUAAUAAUAAAAUAAAUACUCACAUAAUAAACAUCAACCAUUCAUAUAUACAAAAAUAAAUAUGAAUUGGAAUUUCAAUUAAAAAAUUUUUCAAUUAAAUACAUAAAUAUCAAUAAAUAAUUCAAAUAUAUAUAACACAAAAUAUUCAAUAAUGAAUAAAUAUAAUUGAACUUCAACCAUUCAAAAUAUUUCACAAUACCAAAAUAAUUAAAAUAAAAAUCUCACAUAUAAACAUAUACAACAAAAUAAAAAAUCACAAUAUAAAAAACCAUCAAUAUCAAAAAAAACAUAUAAAUAAAAACUCAAUAUCAAAUAAUUAAAAUAUCAACAAUAAUAAAAACUCACAAUAUAAACUAACAAUAAAUAAUUAAAUUGGCAUCUUCAAUUCAGUAUAUUCAAUAUAAAACAAGGCUCCAAUAAACAAAAAAAACUCACAAUAUAAAGCAAUAAAAGCAGCAGCAAGGGAGGAGAGGAGUGGGUUUGGGGCAGCAGCAGCAAGGGAGGAGAGGAGUUGAGGGUUUGGGGAUUGAGUUAGGGUUGGAGGAUGAGAAAAACAAAAGAAAUUGGGGCUUUUGAUUGUAUAGGAGUCGGGUAGGAAGGCUGGGACUGGGGGGGGACACGGUGGGAAUUUCCUUUCUUUUUUUGUUUGUUCGGCCUGGCCCAAAACGACGCCGUUUUGGCCAGGUCAUUUAAAAAAAUUUCCUGGGCCAAAACGACGCGGUUUUGCCCGUCUGUUUUGAAAAAAAAGAAGCGCGCGCGAGCGCUGCUUCUUCUUCCUCUUCCUGCCGAGUCUUCGUUCAGGCUUUUUGUCGAACAGUUGGCGUGCGAGUCCGACCCCGACGACCCCAGCUCCAAGAGGUCGCAUAUGGGAGCUUCAAGGUUGUUUCCAUGGUUUCCAAGGGGUCGUGCGACCCCGACGACCCCACUGUGGAUCCGCCACUGUUCAUUGGUUAAUCGUUUCUUUUUGGAGAGCAACUUACAUGAUAUUAAGUUGCUCUCUACAAAAGAAAUCAUUAGAGGGUUAGCCUUCGUGCAAAAGAAAGGGUGCUCUUUUGUGAUUAAAGGAUCACAGGUUCAAAUCGUGGAAACAAGUUAUUUACAGUAAACUAAAGAUAAGACUGUGCACGAUAACGUUCCUCCCCCGAACUUCACAAAAAAAAAAGAAAUGUUGUUGGCUUGAGGUCGCUCUUUAAUAAUAGAUUAGCGCAUGGUGUCACAAUACUCAUUAUAAAAAUCCUUCUCGUAUUGUCAGGAAUCAUUCAAGAAGACCCGGAGUAGAUAUGAUGAGAAACCACAUGGAUGGACAUGCAUGAUUAGGCUUGGCAGUUGGCAAUUUGGCAUGCACACCUGCAGUUUCCCUUUAUUUUUCAUGUGGAGCGCGGAUGAAAUUAACAUCAAUCUAAUUAGCUAGGGUUUCGUGUGGUGGUUUUCAUGUACCCUAGAUAUUUUAUUCACAACUUGGAUUAUACAUAAGUACCAACUAGCUGCCAAUCAAUAGGACGGUAGGGCACAUGGUCAUACCUAAUUACAUGAUAAAACGGCAUUAUUUCUGCAUGCAAACGUCAUAACUCAGACCAUUUAUUAAUGUGGACAUUUGAUAUAUGUCUUUGUUUGAUUUUGAACACUGAGCAAGAAAGAAAUACUAAGAAGAUACCAAACGCUUGCAAGAACUUACCAUUAAAUAGUCUCUCGUAUACGAAUAUUAGUUGGUCGAUCGAUCAGUUUUAUGUGGAGUUAAACUUUAAGUAAAUUAGGGUUCCAAACUCUUGUUUCUUUCUUUUAAAUCCAUUGUAUCUCGUACACAUCUGACAAUGAAAGUAGGACGCGCGUAAUCGGAAGUUUCUUUCUUCUUUAAUUUGAUUAAUUUUCUCGUAAAGUGGUGCAAUGGAGGUCCAGAAAAGGAUUGAUCUAUCAGAACUGAAGUAGCCUGUCAAAGUACAUAAGUUUUAGUUCUUACUCAUACGCACUUCAGCUCGCUUGGUAGCCGAUUGAGAUAUCGAUGUCCAAAUAUCUGGAGGAAAUGUUGAGAACAUGAUCAUAUAGUACUUAUGUAGGGCUGAGGAAUGCCUUGUUUGUAGCACACGAUUAUAUAUAGAUUCCUCCACCAAAAUUGCUCCAAAAGAUAUUUUCUAUACUUGGUGUACCUUUUCAUAUGUAGAGUUAAAUGACGGCUCACGGUGGGAUAAUUAUGCGAUUUUGAUUAUGUGAAACUUUUAAUAGAAAAUUUCAUUUUAAUCUUUGGUAAAUAUGAUUUUUAGAUUAAAACUAUGAGUAAGAUCAAAAUCUAAUUUUGAUCAUAUAUUAAUAACCUCAUUUAUUAAUUAUAUUUUUCUUUUUUAAUUAAUUUUCUUUUUCUUCCUAAUUUUUAAUGUAUUAAUUUUAUUUCAUUUUCAUUUUCAUUUUCGCUUCAUUUAAUGUAAUAUAUGUUGUUGUAAACAUUUGGAUAAACUAAUUUUUGUUAUACAAUAUAUUUCGAUGUACUUUGUUUUCUUCAUUCAGGUACAUUAAAUUCAUUAUAAUACAUUUCGGUGCAUAUAUUUAGGUACACAUAUUUCGGUACAUACAUUUCGAUACAAACAUUUAGGUAUAUUAAUUAAAUAUAAUACAUUUCGGUACUAAUAUUUCAGUGCAUACAUUUCGGUACACACAUUUAAGUACAUUAAUUUAAUAUAAUACAUUCCGGUGCAUAUAUUUCGAUACUAACAUUUAAAUACAUUAGUUCAAUAUAAUACAUUUUGGUACACAUAUUUUGAUACUAACAUUUGGGUACAUUAAUUGAGUCUUUUAAGUUUGAAGAAUGUUAAAUAAAAUUAAUAAAUUAAAAAAAUUCUUUUUUAGUCAACAAAAAAUAAAUUAAAAUUUGUGUAUUAAUAAAUUUAAAUAUUUAAUGAAAACAUUAAUAAAAUGCACAUUAAUUAUUUUGAAUUAAUGACACAUCAAUGGAUUAUAAUCAAUAUGUAAAUUAACAUCAGGUUUAUUUUAAAUUUCAAUCUUUUUGAAUGAUUAAAGUUAAAAAAAAACCCCAAAUUUUAAAUUACUUGUAAUGUUUGGGACUCCAGUAUUUUGAUAUUUUCGUUCCAUGUAGCUCUCCCUUGUUAGAUAAAGUUAUCUAUGAAGCUGCUCUCUCUCAGAAGGAAAAUUUACGAUAAAAGGUUCACGUGCGGAGUUCACUCAAUGUGAAAGGAUUGCUUUAUACAACGAUCAGACAUAAGAAGAAAAUGAUUUAUACACAUAUUUGUUCUCACACUAAUCUUUAAUCUUCUUCUUUUGAGAUGUUAAAAAUGAAAAGGUGAAAAAUCACUAUCGAAAAAUGGUGAUGCGAGGAACAAGGAAGAAAACAAAUAAGAGGUGGGCAGUGGGCACCAACCUAACCCACAUGGUGACGGUGCAAAUAGGAUAAUGCUUGUGUCCUUUUUAUGGAAAAUAAUUAUUCUUUUAGGGAAAAUAAUUAUUUUAUCAAUUGCGAUUACACAAAUAUUUAUCAUCUAAUUAUUAUAAUUUGACUUGUUAAUUUUUUUAUCAUCUAAAAAUUAUAGGGAAGUAUUAUUGGUACUCCAAAAAUCUCAUUCUAUACUCCUCACAAGUGUAUUUUUUUUUCUAAAUAUAGAAAGUUUGGACUGUAGGAUGAGAAUUUUGGAAUGCCAAUAACAAUUCCCAAAUUAUAUAUGUAAAAUAUUAUUUAAUUUGGCUAUUUUUUAGCCAUUAAUAUGCAUAAAAUAAAUAGAUGGUUCAUCAUGAUGAUGUUACUUGAUAUUGCAAUUAUUUGUUAGUUUAACAUGUAUGGAUGACCAAACCAUGUCCAAAUUGAAUGAUUUUUUGUAUAUGAUCUUCAACAUAAUAAAGAAAAUGAAUGAUUCGAAUUAUAAUGUUAGAAUAAUAAAGAUUAGUUUUUUUAUAAGUAAAAGAAAAAUUAAGUUACAGAGGAGACACAAGCAUUAUGUGUGUGUGUAUGUAUAUGCACCCGAUUUUUCCUACUCACAGAACUUGGUUCCUAACCUCCUCCAAUCAUAUCUCCUGUUUCACACUCGGCCUUCUUUCCUUCCUUCCUUCCUCCUUCCUACUCCAAUCACAAAACUCAAACAAAACAAAAGAAAUCGAAGAAACCUUUGAGAAUUUGAGAGGCCUGAAAGUUGCAAUCGUAACAUCACACCUUCACAGACACCUACCUCUUCCUGCUGCCUGCUGUCCUCCCCUUCUUCCCCCCACGUACUACGCAGUACCCUCACUGUGUACUCUCUUUUUUCUCUACUUUUUAGCUUUCCCCCACCUGUCGCCUUUGCCCUUUUGGUUUCCUUCCCAUUUUUCCCUAUUUAUUUACCAAAUUGCCAUCCCCUCCGGCCUCUGCCUAGUAUUUCUCUUAUAUAUAUAUAUAUGUACAUUUAGCUGUAUAUAUUAUCCCACCUUCACAACAUAAUCAACUACUUUUCCUCUCACUCCAAAUAUAUAUAUACACACACACAUCCACCAAAGGAAAAAUGUAUGGCCCUUGAGAGUUAACAUAAUAUUACCACAUUUUUUAUUACAUAUAUGUGUGUAUCUAUAGACUAUAUAUAUUGUUGUUAUAUAUAGAGAUACAAAGAGAGAGAUAACAGAUUCAUACUUCGUUAAUUUAUUAUGGGGUUACAAAGCCAGCUCAACGACGUCUCUUCCGACUCCAUCCCGCUCUUACUCAUCGCACUCAUCGCCAGCUCCAUCAACCACCUCCGCUCCUCCCUCCUCGCCCUCCUCCAUUUUCUGGGCCUCAGCCCCCAUCCCAAUCCUGGCUCAGACUACGACGAAGGCCUUGCUGCCGGCCCGGCCGUGGGCUCGGGACUCGCGGGUCUCGUUAUCUUGUCCGACCAGCUCGCCCUCAACCGUCACUUAUCCUAUCCAUACGACCGCGACGACGCCGUUGCCACCGCACGGGAUUGCAAUUGCGUGGUGUGCUUGUGCACCUUGGGGGAUGGUGAGCAGGUCCGCAUGCUCCAGUGCCGCCAUGUGUUCCACAAGCACUGCUUCGACUCCUGGCUCGACCACCUCAACUUCAAUUGCCCUCUCUGCCGCUCUCCCGUGGUACACCGGGAUGGCGUCGCGCUCACGCGCCGCCGACUCUCCCGCGACCUCCUCCACUGGUUUUCCAUCAGCUGAGAAUCAAUGGAUGUUAACGUCAUAAAUAUGUUCACAUGGUAUCCAGUAUCCACCACUGAUAUCCACUCUAAUCUGCCCAUGGAUUGUGAGUCGUGACGAUUGCCGGUGGUUUCUUACGUUUUUUCCAUUUUUCUUUCUUUUUUUUUUAUAUUUUAGAGGGUUGUUGGCCAUAGACUUUCUUUUUUAUUGUUUGGUCCCUCUAAUUAUUUUUCCUGCGGCUGUAAAUAUUUCGUGUUGCUAAUUAAAUAAGGAAGAGGGAUUUCUUUGUGUUUACCGCCAUUUUUUUAUAUAUUCUGUGAUGAAAAUUAAGAUUAGAAACGUUACUAAAUGGUAAAUAAAAAUUAGGGAAGCUUACUAUAGGAGCAUAAUUCAAGCUUGUUUGAAAAAGUUUUUAAAAUGACUAGAAACUUAUUAUUGGAACAUAAUUCAAGCUCGUUUGGAAGAGCCUUUAAAAAAAAUUAAAAAUUCAUUUAAAGAAAAUGUUUAGUGUUUCAAAACAAUUAAAGAACUUUUUGUACCAAAAACAAUUUCAAUUAUUUUAAAAACACUUCCAAACAAACUCUCAUCUCUUACGGAAGCAAAAAUGAUGAGCGUCUUUUCAGCUAAGAAAAAUGGGUCUAAUGUGCAAUAUGUAAAAACAUAGGAAAAUAUAUCUUUUUGUCCUCUUUGUAUAUAUUCUUUAUUUAUUAUUCUUUUAUUUUUCGUAAAUAAAAGUGUGCACGCACAUAAAAAUGCAUGUUGAAAUCUCUCCCAAAACCUGCACUCUUUUCUAUCCCACUGACGUUUUUAAAGAGGGUAUGAAAUCCCUAGGAGAAGGUUAAAAAUGGAAAAUAAAAGAAAGUCAAAAAGUAUAAACUACGAAAGGAUUGGCCCCUAAGAAAGCGGAAAUUUUAUUUAAACUCAUAUAACCUAUUUCUACACAUAACUUACUUUUUGCACCAAUUUGAUUUUUAAUUACACUAUUAAUAUCUCUUUAAACCCAAAUUUGAUACCUAAUAUGCCCCCAUAAAUCCAAUUCAAUAUAUGGAUUUAUUAUAAUGUUUGGGUUUAUUGAUAAAUUUAAUUAUAAUGUUUAAGCUUUUGUAAAGAGAGCUAUUAGGAUUUAAUUAUAAUAUUUGGGUUUAUUGAUAAAUUUAAUUAUAAUGUUUAAGCUUUUGUAAAGAGAGCUAUUAGGAUUUAAUUAUAAUGUUUGGGGUUUAUUGAUAAAUUUGACUUUUAUUAUUAAUUUCAUUUUGUACUUAAUAGUAAUUAUGCAAUAGGAUAAAAUAGACAAUUAACAUUUAAAAUUUAAAAUUGGGUGUAAAAAGAGGUUGAAUGGGUUUAAAUAAAAUUUCCUUAAAGAAAACAUGUGUUGGGCCAGUCAUUAAAUAAUGCAAAGCCCAAUAUAUAAUGGUAAAUCCAUAAUAUUGCAAAGCCCAAAACAUUGUCAAAAAAACUAUACUCCUACCAACGUCCUAACGAACUACAUGCAAUUAUUAGCGAACUACACAUACCAGUUGAUUAAGUAUUCAGCACAUCAAAGAUAAGCAAACCAAAACUUUCAAACGUACCACAUGUCUUUUUUUUGCCGUUUACUCUUGAACUUCUUCUCUAAAUCCAAAUUCGAAUCCAAUUUAACAAUGUAUACAAAGAUGGUCUACGUCUUGUAAAAGUCAUCUCGUACAUGUAGGAAUGCAUGAUGACAUUUUUGUAGUACUGAUAACAUUUCUUAUCUUUUAUUUGAGACGAUAUAUCUAAUUAGAUGGUUUCGAGAGGCAAAAUGUACGGCCGUACUGUAAUCUUCAAUAGUACUAAAAAUGAAUUUGGAUGUUAGUUUGGUAUAUAUCAUGAGGACUGAGCAGGGUUCAAUCUUAAUUUACCAGUACCUCAACUACUACCAUUCUCUUUUCUGCGCUGAUUUUUCUAGCUUUCAUUCAUCUAACUGAGGACUGAGGAGGACUCGAGCAAGAGAUCUUAAGCCCGUCAAUUGUUCUACUUCGUGCCGAGAGAUCCAAAAUAUCAAAUACCCUUUUCGUCUAAAGGGCGAUCCAUCCGGCUGCGGAGAUCCUGACGAUGAAUUUGCUUGCGUGAACGGAAAAACCAUCUUAGAAAUUUUCCCGGGAAAGUACUACGUGCACAACAUUUCAUAUGAUGAUCAAAUCCUCGUUUGGUGCACGUCAACUUCGCCAACGGAAGCAGCCUUCCGUCAACGGAAGUGAAUGUCAGGGAUUAUCGGUUCCAAGGAUAUGACACCAGCUCUACUAGUUUUAUCGAUUCGUCAAGCAAUACGAUGCAAAGAAUAAUUCCUGCCUAAGCGGCGGUAGGCUAGACCUCAACCAUUGAAGGCUAUUUCAUCCCAUGGCCAUACACUUGCCAUUGAAAUUAUGAGUAUAAUAAGCUUAUUAUCUAACUCUAGAUGUUUGGUUGUAGUUUGUAAUAUAGUUGUUGUGUGUAUUAAAUACGGGUAAAAAAAAUUUGUGCAUGACGUUUGUUCUUUGUUAAAGAAUGGAUUUUAUAUCAAUAAUGUAAUUUACAGCUUAUGAAAACUAAUCGUGUCUACCAAUGUUAUCGACAGCUUAUCAACAGUUGUCUGGUCUAUAACGUCACGUCCAGAAAAUAACUUUUAGUAGGGGCUUAAGAGAGCCUAGGAGGAAAUAGGGCAUAUUGUGGAAGACAAGCAGCAUGUGCAGGUGGACAAGGGCACUGGCAAGUGUAUGCCUAUGGGAUGAAAUAGCUUUCAACAGUAGUCUUAUUGUGCUCGUAAUUUGGUAGUGUCCUAUUAAGGGGUUUCGUAAACGCCAUGUUCGGGCCAAACACGAGCAUGUUUGAAACUGCAUAUGAUAGGGUUUGAAACAUUGUUCGAUAGUUAUAAGCGCUGGUGAUUACAUUUUACAAAAAAUCUUAAAUUGCUUAUAAGAUCUUAAAAAACGUUUUCUAAAGGUACUUUUCUAGAAUAUACCCAAACUUUUAAUAAAAGUUUUAGCAUGUUCAUAUGAAAAAUCAUCCCAAAUGAAUCAUGGCUAAAUCAAGAGUGCCUAUGAUGCUAAACCCAAGUAUGUUGCACAUUGAAAACUGCCAGCUAGAAAUUUUUAACUUGCGGCAUGUCCUAUUCUCACCUUUUACCCUGGACUUCUACAGACUUCUACUCUAAAUCCAAAUAUUUGGAAGAGAAUUCUCUCUCCUCCUAAUAUUUGAAUGCAACUUAGCAAAUCUAUGUAUUUGAGAAGCAAUCAUAUAUAUUUGGAUAGUGAUUUUUGCACUCAUAAUUUCUUUAUCUAUACUGCUCCUUAGUUUGUGACUUGUAAUUUGAUUAUCUUUUUUUUUUUUUGUUCAAUUCACUGGAUUAAAAAGUUAGGAGUAUGAAGGUAGAAAACAGGAGUGCGAGGGUAGAAAAUAGACUGACACCUGUAAGGCUGCACUACUACAAUCUUCAAUAGUAUAAAAAGGGAAUUUUUUUUCUUUAAAAAAUUGAUCAGUUGGCUUCACCAUGAUAGUUUAUUUUUUCGGUGCUCAGAAGACUCACAGAAGCAUUUCAUAAUUUCUUGACUAGCAUCUGUAAUUCACAUAGUGUCAGAACGUGUCGUGUGACAUGGAAUUGGUUUCUAACCAUUGGUGACUCUGUGGUGAGUACAAAAAAGAAUUUUGAUGUUGGUUUUGUUAGACUAAGUCAGACUUCCCAUUUUCAUUCAAACUAUCAAGUCUUCUUCCUUAUCUCAAAGAGAGUGUUAAGUCUAGGAAGAUUAUGAAUGUUUCUUAGUUAAGUUUACUAUGCUGUUAUAAAGUUUGAAUUUCACACUAGCGUGUAAAUAGCUUGUUUUAAACCCACUGACGUAAAUCUCUAUGAUCUUAUAAAUACAAGCAACCCUAGAUUGAAAAGGGUAUGCAAAAACAACUAAAAACCUAGCCUACUAAAGUUUUAUAUGGUAUCAGGUUGUUCCAUGUGUAAAGUCAAACAGUCAUACGUGCUCCACACUACUCUGUUGUGUUGUCCACGUGUUAGACUUAAAAAUUUGUCACACGUGAGGUGGCGUGUUGAGAAUGAGUCUCACAUUGAUGGGAGGAAGAACUUUCAUGAGCUUAUAAAUAAGUUGAAUUGCUUCUUAUAUUACCAAUUAAUUUUAUAGUGGAACCUCAACUUUAUUCAGGUUUGUUGUGCAUCUCUGGACUCGUAAAAAGAUACUUCAUCGCUGACUCUGAAAUUUGGCAUAUUCAUGAAAACUUAUACUCGGUUGUGUAUUGGCAAAGGAAUGAGCCAAUUAAGGGAGCUUAAUUGUCGUCGAUCUUUGAAUUCUAUUAGAAUAAUAUGGACAUUGUUUUAUUUAUUUGAAGAUCAUCCAAAUUGCUUUAUUUUUAUUAACUCGAUCGAUCUCGACUUAAGACUUUUUGAAUCAACAACUUUCACAUAACGCGUUUCUGCACUAACUUCCUUGAUUCUAAAAUCAUUACGUUAUUAUUUCAUAUAAAUAUAAUAUUAUUAAUUAAAAAAAAACUGAAGAAAUAAAAAAACCCUAGCAUGGAUGGAGCUCAAAACGUACUUUGGGUGUUUGACACUUUCAGUGGUUGACUAUCUGGGAAAUAUAAAUGUAUUAGCUGCUUGUUCCGGGAUUACUAUGAUAUUUUCCAAUUUUGAAGUUCAUAGUUAUUCUGCUAAGACAUACGUAUAUAAUAUACCAUGAGGAGGGUUCAAUGUUCAUUUACCACUUCAACUAUUAUAUUCCCUUUUCGUCUAAAGGGCGAUCCAUCUGGCUGCGGGGAUCCUGACUAUGAAUUUUCUUGCGUGUACGGAAAAACCAUCUUAGAAAUUUUCCCAGGAAAAAUACUACGUGCACAACAUUUCAUAUGAUGAUCAAAACCUCCGUUUGGUCGACGUCAACUUUGCCAACGGAUCCUGCAGCCUUCCGCCUGGAUCUGUCAAAACAGCGGACGGGAAAGUCAUGGAUUUUCGGUUCCAAGGAGCUGUGAUCUAUUAUGCUAGUCGUUUUCGAUUCAUCAAGUGCUCCAAAAACAUCAGCAGCCUGCCAACAGCUGCUAAUUAUACAAGGGUUCCAUGUUUGGCCGCAACAAACGGGAGCUAUUUCUAUGCUGUUUAUGUCCCCGAGUACUAUUAUCCCCCUCAACCGUCAUGCUCGCUUGUUGCAGUGGCUCCGGUAGAUUUUCAUCCGGACAUGAAGUUCACUUCUUACGAAGCCGUCAUGAAACUAUUGCAGGCCGGGUUUGAUAUUGGAUGGUCGGUUAAGUGCAGGGACUGCUCUUUGGCUGGUAAGGGAUGCGCAGUAAGUUCAUGGGUUAAGCCACUCACCUACGAAUGCUACACAGGUUAGUAUCCGAUCCCGAACUACUACAACAACACGUGAAAGUACGUGUGACAGUCACGUAAUAGUUCAUCACGGAUCAAUAUACAACUAAUUAUGUGUAUGCCUUAAGUUUAUGACCGCGAUUAGUUUUAUCUCUUGCUUAUGUAAAGUCAUUGUUUGAGGUUGCUUUUGAAUUAGUUAAAAAUGUUCUCUAACAGUCGAAAACGUUUUUUUCACUUGAACUUUUAAAUAUUUUAACGUUUAGUAUUGUGAUUUUUGUAGAUGCAGAGUACAAAGAACCCACAGAACUUCAAAUAAUCUUAAUAUAUGUAGCAAUGGGUGUGGGAGGUAUUCUAUUUAUUCCAUUGUAAUUUUUCUUGCAAUUUUAUUAUGCCAUAGCAGUCUGCAACUGAUAGAAAUCUUCUCUCUGCAUUUUCAGCUCUAAUUGGUCUGUUGUGUAUAAUUCUUAUACUGGUGGUCGUAAUCCGAAGAUGUCGUAGAACUAGAAACGAAGCCAAGAGAAAUCUCCAGAAUCAAAAUCAGCAGUCCUUGACGCCAUAAAUCAACAGUUCUUGAGCUUAACAUUUGUAUGUUGAUGUGUGUAAAUUCAAAUGCUUUUGCGGUGUUUGUUGAUGUGUAUAAUUCGGAUAUUUGGUCUUGUUCAUUAGUUAUUGGCCAUUGAGCCAUGUAUAUAUUUCCAAAUGGGCCUCAUUUCAUUGGGCCACUUGUUAUAAACUGGUUCUUAAAGAGUGAUCUCUUACCGACUUUAAAACCGUUUUUUAUUAUAUUUCGUAGGAAAACUUAAAAACGCUUUGGGAUAUAGAAACAACGAAAAUGCUUUUCCAUGAUACUUUUUAGGUUUUCGUUAAAAUGUGUUUACAAUUAAACAAAUUUAACCAAAAAAAAAAACACUUGUUAGCAUAAAUACUUUCUACAAAAAGCGUUUUUAGGAAGUGCUUUGAGGAACUUAGGUCAUCUCCAACAGAUCCAGCCAAGGGGUUAUAGGGCUAAAAAUAACCCGUUUUACAACUGUCUCCAACCGAGAGCUAGACCAAAUGGCUCGUGGUCCCCACUCGGCCAAAAAUGGGAGAACCGGCCAAAGGGCUAGUCAAGAGCAGCUAGCCUACCAACCCUAUAGCCUAGCCCUCCAUCGCCAAAAUGUUAAGCUUGACAUAUGCCAAUUUAUUAACAUUUGAAGGUGUUUGGAGGUGUGUGAAUUCUACCCCAAUAUCUAGCCAAUUUAUUAACAUUUGAAGCUGAAUAUAAAAAGUGUCACAUAAAUAAGAAUCAUAUAUAAAAUUUUCACAAUUAAUUAUAUAUCGGCACUCGAAAUCUUAUCCAAAAAAUUAUUAAGAUUACAUAAAGAUAAGAAAUCUAGAGAGUUACUCACUUUAGCGACGUGUCACUCAAAAUCUUAUUCGAAAAAUUAUUGAGAUUACUUAAACAUAAGAAAUCUGGAGAGUUGCUUACGUUAGCGACACGUGUCACUCGAACUCCUAUCCAAAAAGUUAUUGAGAUCAUAUAAAAAUAAAAAAUCCGGAGGCUUAUUCAUUUGGCGACAAGUGGCACUCAAAGCAUGUCCGAAAACCUUAUUUUAAUAUGAUAGUUUAAUUUAAGUAAUCAUAUUAAUUCAAUUAAAAUAAUAAAUUAUGUUUGGCCUAUCUCCUUUGGUCCCCUCGGUUGGAAAUGAUUUUUUAUCUAAGGGUUAUGUUUGGCCUAUGGCCUUUUGACCCCCUCGAUUGGAGAUGGUAUAAAAUAUGGUCUAUCACUAUUCAUUAAAAUAUAAUUUCUUACAAAACUGUAAGAUUAAAAUGAAUCUUUUAGCCCUCCUUCAGUUGGAGAUGAACUUAGCUUUUGGCUUUGGUAUUCUUUGGAAGAGGGAAUGACUGAAAUUCAGCUUUGAUUGAUGAGUGGCGUCUUUGGAUACGGACUAUGGAAAAUGAAGAAUUGACUUUGACCUUUGAAAUUCUCAAUCCUAGGGUGGAGGGGAUAGUUGCAUAUUAAAAAAAACCGAGGAUAAGCUAAUAAAUUAAAAAACUGGGCAGACAAAUGACAAAAAGUGUGCUUAUCCAUUCCAAGACACCGAUCUUCAGUCUUCCAACUUCCAAAUGACGCGUUUGUGACAUAAAUAUGAGUUAACGAGCUGCACUCAAGUUUAAAUUUUACGUACUCUUUUAUCGAGGGAUUUUUGACGCUGCACGAGCAUAAAAAGGAUAUCAACGUAAGUCUUUAAAGAAUAAUGUUCUGAAAUUCAUCAGAUUUUGAAAAAUACUAUUUGAAUAAUUCUUAAAUGUUUAUAACAUUAGUUAUAAGACUUAAACAGAGUUAACUCGACUCUUGAGAAGUUUAGAAGAGUCUUAGGGAAUGUAAAAGAAGUAACCGGACAUAAAACAAAACGUCCGAUUUUAUUAGAAACUUUAAAAUUUGGUUUUGGAAGUCUAAACGACGUCGGAUGGCUUUAAUUCAUUGUGCUUCAUAGCAAAGCAGUGUGGUCAAUCUAGGACGUCGUGAGAAAGUAUUAUGCACGUAAAACGGAGUCGGACUCUAAAUCUGUAAGUAUAUAGAUUCCUGCUGCCGGUGCUGCGUCUUUUUGUCUUCCUUUAGUCUAUUUCAGUUUCAAUCCACUUGGUCAUUUGUUUUACCUCAAUUUUGCAAAUAAAAUUAUGUUUGUGGCACACCUUAUAAUGUCUAUUAUGUAACUAUUUUAAUUAUUUGAACGGUUUAUAUGUCAAUUCAUUAUUUAUACAUCAUUCAAACAAAUCCAUAACAACCAAGAUAUUCAACAGUAUUGUAGUGAGCAAAAAUAGAAGAAUGUUGUGUUUUAUACAAACACUAAAAUGACUAUCAUUUAGUUCAACAAUCAUAUUAACUUCGAUUUGAUUGUUUUUUGUGUAAAUAACUUAAAGGAAAAUCUAAAAAAUAAAUGGUUAAAUUAUUAAAAUAUAAUGUGGGUGUGGACUUUACAAAGAUGUCACUCAACAAUUUUAACAGUUAUUGUAGGCAACUAGUUACAGUCAUUAGGAACCGGAUCCUCUCCGAAUCCCAAUAAUAUGAGCCUAAGGAUCAAAUGAUUUAGAUUGUUGAAAUUUGAUCAAACGGUUACAAACAGAAACCCCUCUAAAGUUAUAAUAAUUGUAACCGUUGGAUCAAAUUCAACAGCCUGGAUCAAAUGAUCAUUCGGCUCAGAUUAUUGAGUUCCGGAGAGGAUCCAGUUCCCAGUCAUUACUAUCUUUAGAAAAAAGACAAAAACCCACAACACGGAGCUGGAAGUUUUGACCCUCUCCCUUUCGUUGACUAACAGAGGAACAUCAAUGGAGAUUUCCUUUAAGAAGAAGAUGGGCCAUGGCGUUCCAAACUUUGGAUAAAAAUCAACACGCCUAAACAAUUUUGAGGCGUUCCAGAAGACUAUAUAUAUAAUCUACGCAGAGCGUCAUCCGAAAUUAUUUACCCAAAGUUCUGAGAUUCAUAAUUUUUCUGCAAAAACAUAUAAUAUAAUCAUGAGGACGGUCCAAUAUACAUCUUCUCUUUUCUGUUCUCUGCUGAUUCUGCUAUUUUUCGUUCAAAUUCAAGCACAAACCAACUGUUGGUCUUCCUGCGGAGAAAUAAAAAACAUCAGCUACCCUUUUCGCCUCAAGGGCGAUCCAUCCGGCUGCGGCGACUCCGAUUACGAGCUCUCUUGUGUCGACAACAAACCCAUCCUAGAGAUUUUCCCCGGGAAAUACUACGUGCGCAACAUUUCCUACUAUGAUCACACACUCCGUUUGGUCGACGUCAACUUCGCCAACGGAACCUGCGGCCUUCCGUCUGGUCCUGUCGAAACAACGAACGGGUUUGUCCGGGAUGCUCGAUUCAUGGGAUAUGGGUGGAACCCAGGAAGUCGUUUCCGGUUCGUCAAGUGCUCAACAAACAUCAGCAGCAUGCCGGAAGCUGCUAAUCACACAGUGGUUCCUUGCCUGACAAGAAACGGGACUUACGUCUAUGCUGUUUAUGAUGGCGAUUACUCGUAUUAUGAGCCUCAAAAAUCAUGCUCUGUCAUUUCGUUGGCUCCUGUCGAUCUUCGUAAAGAUGUUACGAAGUUCAAUUCUUAUGAGGCCGUCAUGGAACUAUUGAAAGCUGGCUUUGAAGUUGAAUGGUCAGUUACGUGCAGAGAUUGCUCUUUGGCUAGUAAACAGUGCGUAGUAAAAUCAAUGGAUAAGCCAUUCACCUAUAUCUGCAAAAAAGGUCAGUUCCUAUAUUGCGUUUGAAGUUGUUUAGAUUCAUCUGUUAAAUUUUCUAGAAUAUUUAACCGUUAAAUUACGCAAUUCGCUUCAUGAUUAUGUUUUCGUUUCUCUAAUGUUAUACUUUUUUUUUUGACAUGCAGAGUACAAAGAACUGACAAGAGCUGAAGGAAACUGGAUAAUUGCUGCAAUCGUUGUGGGAGGUAAUAUUACUGUCGCAUUUGUACAAACAUUGACAAACUUGUUAUUUUCUUUCAAUUUUUCGAUCUCUUUCCCGAGUCAGCUGAUAGAAAUCUUGUUUCUACAUUUUCAGGUCUGAUUGCUCUGGGAAUUAUCAUUGGUAUAAUUGUAUUCGUCAUACGAAGAUGUCGGAGAAGACGAAAUGCAGCUGAUAACACGAACAAGAAUCCGCAGAAUCGAAUUAGUGCUUGAGCCAACAACCACCAAUUCUUGGAUACAUGAAUUCCAUGAAAAAAAAAUUUAUUUCGUUCUUUCUUUUUUGUAAGUCAGUUAAAAGAAAUUAACUCCAUUUUUUCCUUCUUUCUUUUUGGAUGUAUAAUUCAGUUAAAAUACUCUGUAUUUAAUACCACGUGAAUUACAUCACUUAUUACGGAUAAAUUGCAAAAACACAAUUAACAUAAUAUUUUGAUUGACAUAUUUGCUAUAGAGCAUAACACGUGAAAUAUCUCAAAUUCCUUUAUAAAAUUAUCACGCAAAACAUCACAACCAACACAAAAUGUAACACGCGAAAUGUUUUACAUGCCCAUGUGUAUAUACCAUAUAAACAACACAAUUGACAACAAAAAGUUUGAACAUGGAAGUCUACACGCUUGAUACAUAACGUCUGUAAUGUCAAUCACGUUGAUUAUGUUUUUUUUUUUUUUUAAAGAAAAUCAGUUGAUGGCUUCGCUACGAUAUAUCAAUCAUGUUGACUGUGUAUUUUUAUGUUUUCUUUUUUAAAAAGAGAUUAGUUAGUGGUUUUGCCACGAUCGUCUACUGUUCCGAGAAUUUGAAGUAUUUCAACCUCUUCUUGAGAACCAUAAUGUGAUUCAUCAUCACCAAAAAUUGAAACAAAACACAUCGUUUAAAAUACGGGUCACUUCGUCUCAAUUACUAAGUUACGUUGAUUGUAUAGUUUAAAGUGAGACAUGAGACCAUUUAAAGCAUUAAACUUGUGGACUGAUUGAUCCAAGUCCUUUUCUAUUGGGCUGACCCUCUUAAUGACAUAAAGACUUUUAGACCGUUUGAUUUUUCAAACGUUUGUGUCUAUGCUGAUUGGCGAAAAAGAAUAAGGAGGGAGAAUUGUCUUAAACACAUUAUUUUAACAUAACGCGUAACCUUUCAAACUCUGGCGUUUUUAUAGACGCCUUAACAGUUCAAAGUUCAUGAUUCAAUUAUUAACAUGUGAAGAAACACACAGAGCUAGCAGGGAAACUCUGACUAAAUCCCAAUAUCUCAUCAGUUAAUUGCAGGGGAACAUGUAUAAAUACAUAUCCUUUCAACACUUACUAACCUCGGCUGUACGAAAAAGUUUAUUUGAUAUAAACAAAAAAUUGAGACAGUCACGAGAACAUAACUUUACCUCUCACAACAGAAGAAAACCAAAAUACAAAAAAAAAAAAAAGAAAAAAAAAAGAACAUAAACCUUAUUCCUGACAGAGCAAAACAAAAUGGAAAUUUCCGAAAGGAUAAUGAGAGGAUUGAGUUAGGAUUUCAAUUAACAUCUUGUUAAUAAGUUUUUCAAUUUUAAAAUCGUCAUAUGCUAACAUGUAAUAAUUUAAUAUUAAAAUAAUGAUACUAAUAUCUGGAUAUUUUAAAAUCAGGCGGCUACAAUAUUUGAUAAAAUAAAAGUUGGUGAUGGUAGAAUGUCAUCUAAUUAAUUAAUUUGUGAAAUGUUGAAAAUUCAGUAGGAUUCAGGUUCAGAGAUACGGACAAAGAGAAGCACAAACGAAAAAUGAAAUCUUUGGGAGGCCUAGAGAUCAUUCUUUCAAGCCUUCUGUGUCUGCUCCUUCUCUUUGCUCUCCUCAAGAUCUUUCACAAUCUAUGGUGGUCUCCCAUUCGACUACAGAAUCUGGUGGCUCUGCAGGGAAUCAAGGGCCCUUCUUACCGAUUCGUCCACGGAAACACCAAAGAGAUCUCCAGCAUGCAAGAGGAAGCCAUGAGCAGGCCCAAAAGCUUAUCACAUGACAUAUUUUCUCGAGUUCAACCUCACAUCCACUUGUGGACCAAGAAAUAUGGUAAACAAACUUUUACCCGUUGAUGGUUUUCAAAUCUUUGUUCUAAACAAAACUUUUACCUGUUUGAGUUAACAGAAGACUCGAUGCAAAAUCGAGUACAGUGGCGUUUUAGAAUUUAUGUAGCUAGUCCUACUUAGUGGGAAUUGUUGCUGUUGUAAUCUAAAUUUAUUUCGUCUUUGGCAACAGGAGCAAAUUUUCUUCAAUGGUAUGGUUCUCAAGCCCAGUUGGUCAUCACAGAGCCAGAACUGUGCAAAGAGAUACUUACUAACAAGAUAGAGCUUAUCCCAAAAGCGAGCCGAAAAGCUAUCUGAGAAGGCUAUUAGGAGAUGGACUUGUGGUAAGUGAUGGUGAAAAAUGGGCUAAGAUGAGAAAGUUAGCCAACUAUGCCUUCCACGGAGAGAUCUUAAAGGUAAUGUUACUUAUAUAUAUGGAUUAAAUUAGUUGGUCGAGGCAGUGUGCCGUUCUCUUUCACUUGAUUCUGAAUUCUUGUCGUACAAUAAACUAAGAGCAAAUAGGGAACAAAUACGUUAAUUGCUUUUGCUAGGGUAUGGCUCCAACAGUGAUAGCUAGUGCUGAGACGAUGCUAGAAACUUGGAAAGAACACGACGGCCAAGAGAUCGAUGUGUUUGAAGAAUUUAGGUUGUACACCUCAGAAGUGAUUUCCAAGACGGCCUUUGGCAGCAGCUACUUAGAAGGGAAGAAAAUUUUCGAUAUUCUGGAGAAGUUAGGCUACUUAUCAUUCAAAAAUGCGUUCAAGCUCAGGUUUCCCGGCAUUAGGUAAUUGCUUCCUUUUAACUAAUUCAUCAUGAAUUGGAACAUUGCAUUACUUAGGUUCUGAUGUUUAAUCUGUCGUUGAUCAAUGCUGCAGUAAGUUUAUUAAAUCCAAUGAUGAGAUCGAAUCAGCAAAGCUCGAGAAAAGUAUACGCGACUCCAUCAUGGAGAUGAUCAAGAACAGAGAAAAUAAGGCAAUGGCUGGAGAAGAAGACAGUUUUGGGAAUGAUUUUCUUGGGGUACUUUUAAAAGCUCAUCACGACACCGACGAGAAAAAGAGGAUUUCGAUUGAUGAAAUUGUUGACGAGUGCAAGACAUUUUACUUUGCUGGACAAGAAACCACUAAUAGUGCACUUGCUUGGACUGUGUUUCUUCUAGCAAUCCAUACCGAUUGGCAAGAGGAAGCAAGAAAGGAGGUGAUCCAAAUAUUUGGGAAACAAAAUCCGAAUCUUGAUGGCAUUGCCAAGCUAAAAACUGUAAGAAUGUCAACAGCUCAAUCAAUUUUUGUCUUUGUUACGGCAUAUAUGUUCUCUCGCACUCAAGCUUAUGUGUUCGAUUAUUCAUUUUCAUGCAGAUGAGCAUGAUCUUCAACGAGUCGCUAAGGUUAUAUCCACCGGUAGUUACCAUUGAGAGGAAAAUUCGAAGGGAAGUUAAGCUGGGAAAACAUGUUCUUCCUGCUAAUGUUGAAGUAACCAUUCCAUGCUUAGCCCUUCAGCACGAGCCUCAAAUUUGGGGAGAAGAUGUGCUACUUUUCAAACCGGAGCGAUUCUCAGAAGGGGUUGCUAAAGCUACAAAGAACAACAUAGCCGCAUUCUUACCAUGGGGAUUGGGACCUCGGAGUUGUGUGGGAUCAAAUUUUGCAGCCAUUGAAACAAAGAUUGUUCUGUCGAUGAUUCUACAACGCUUCUCGUUCACACUUUCCCCAGCCUACAUCCACUCCCCCUAUCGGCUUCUUACAGUUCGGCCGCAACAUGGAGUUCAAGUAAUGCUGCACUCGCUUACAUGAUGAUCAAUGUAUCAGCACUGCGGUUUAGGUUACAAAAAUGCAAGCGCUGCUUUGAGCUUCGGUUAAAAGGGAAAAAUGAGUAAUCUUAUUCAUAUCAUGUUUUUAUACCAUAUUUUUAUACCUUCUUAGGUGGUAUCUAAUGUGGACAGUCACAUCAUUUGAAUUAAUCAGAUUUUUUAAUUUAGUUAAACAUGGUAUGAAAAUGAUUAAUUCUUGGUUUUAUGCCCAAUAAAAAAUUUGCAAAACCAAGGAAAAAAAAAGAUAAAGACUCCUGGCAUACCACAAUCAUCAUUUAAUUAACUAAUUUUCUUAAUUAUUAGUUUAUUAAAUAAUAAACUAAAUUUAAAAAUAUGAUUAAUUCAAAUGAUGUAACUAUUCACAUUAAAUGCCACAUAAGAUGAUAUGAAAAUAUGGUACAAAAACAUGGUACGAAUAGCAUUACUCGAGAAAAAUAAGAGUUGCAAUGGUAAAUAGCCACAAUAUUUUUCUUUUCCUCUUGGUUUUUGGAGAAUGUGGAGAUUAACGAUAAUGACUCUUUUGGAACAACUUCUGUAAAAGUACUUUUGUUUAGAAGUACGAUUUCUAGAAGUGAUUUUACUAAAAUACGUUGAAAUGUUUACUAAAAAUCUAAGUGGUCUAUAAAAAAAAUACUUAAAAGUGAAACAUCUAACGUUUACACGCUUUUAUUUAUGACCCCAUAAUAUCGAUGUGGGUUUUUGUUCUGUUGAUGUCAACCAACAUUUCGUUGACUUUCAGUACAUAUAGAGGGCCUAACGCGUUUAAUCCUUCACUGCUGAAAAAAUGAAGUCAGUUCUAGCCCAAACAUAGUGGGCCUAUAUCAAAGUUUCCCUCCGAACCAGGGAACGUGUGGUCCAGAUCGAGGCACAGAGACAGAUGUUGUAUUUGGUUUUUGAUUCUUUCAAGUUUAUGAAUAUUAUCAAAGAAAAUCCUUUUGACCUUCUUCCUCCUUCCAAUAAUAAUGCGAUGCAAAAGUUUAACUAUAUCUGGGGAAACAGGAACUCUGUAAAUAAUAUAUAAUUACACAAAUAAUAGUAUAUUUUGAUAUACAAUUCACGUUUUGGUAAAUUGGUAAGUUGGUAACGUCAAAAGCAAGUCACCAUUAGACAUAAGAGAUUGCUUCGUGUUUAGACACACUGAAAAUUUUCUUUAAUUACGGAUUUGUUAUUAUAUUAUAAUAAACCAUGAAUACAUGAAUUAUGAAGGUCGGGAACAAUGGUCGAUUUUUUGCCCUUUAUGUAUAAGAUACUUUUUUCUGUUUUUAGGAUGGACAAAAAUUCGCUUCUAGCGAUCUCGUAAUUUUCGCCCAAGAUCUGGAUUAUCAUUAUAUUUGGUAAAAUUACAUAAAGUAAUUAACGAAUAAUUAUCAAAGUAUCAAAGUGCAGAAAAGGGAAAAGGAAAGCAUGGAAUUUCCGUGCUGUCAUGCUUUCACAGAAAUCAGAUUCUACUUUGAAUCAGCAUCUAGCUAGAACAAGAGAGACAACACCAGAAACAAAAAGGAAAAGAAGGUUAAAGAGGGAGAGAGACAAAAGAUCGAGAAGAAAAUUAAAGUUCUUAAUUCUUGAUAACAAACCAAAUUACAUGAUAGGUGUAAGUGAUGCAUGCCCAGCAGCUUUACAAACAAACAAGAACAACUUAAUUAAACAGACUGGCUACCUCGUAUGCAUCUCUUACAUCCCAUGUUUUACAACAUUAAGCAUGCAAAAAAGAGAAAAAUAAAAGGAGAACUAAUCGAGAGCAAAGACUUACAUAUUCAAGCACAAACAGGCCAAAGUUAAGUAAGUAAUAAAAGAAAAAUUAAAGACCUAAGUUGUUAAGGUAAACUCGGACCGCUACCCUCAAUUCCCCGCAAUGCAAUAAUACACGCUCUCCCGACUCUGCCCGACACUUUUGUGGUAGCAGGCUAGAGAUUCAGGACAGCGCGCAAUUGCAAAGCCUGUUUUGUAUGUUGUUCUUUCGUCAUUUUUUAUUUAUAUUUACAACACAACCCUUCUCCUCCACGCUGCUGCCGCUGCCAACCGGCACCAUCUUCACGCACUUCACCCAUGUAGACGAAAUCCCACUGGUGGCAGCUGGCCAUCAUGGUGGAUUUUGCGUCGUAAUUGCCAACGAGGCGAAAUUUUAUGGGUAGAAAGAAAGGAGGACUAGAAAAAGAGGGUGAUGAGUAUAGAGCUGAGGGGACAUGAUAGGUCGUAUAUAAAGACGAGACUGUAAGCUUUUUGUUGAAAUAUGAGUGUCACAGUUUUUUUUUUUUUUUUUUUG
rnacentral:lncRNA from 1 species